UUCGUAGAUGGAUUCCUUCUCAUUUACACCCAUGUUCAAAUUUUGAGGUAAUAAGUGCAUGCUUAUGGAGAUGCUAUGCCAUGGCAUCUCAAGCUAACCCUAAUGAGGAGAUGCGCAUGCAAAUGCUUGUUAACGCACGUUCCAAAUUUAACCCUCCAUUACCGAAAGGAUAUUAUGGUAACGUGCUAGCUUUGCCAGCAGCUGUAACAAAUGCUAGGAAGCUUUGCUUAAACUCUUUAGGGUAUGCUGUGGAAAUGAUAAGAAAUGCCAAGAAUAGAAUAACUGAGGAGUACAUGAGAUCAUUGGCUGAUCUAAUGGAGAUAACCAAAGGGCAGCCUAUAGGGUUACAAUCAUAUGUCGUGUCAGACUUAACAAGUAUUGGGUUCGAUCAGGUGGACUAUGGAUGGGGCAACACAAUUUACACUGGGCCACCCAAGGCCAUGCCUGAUGAAAUUUCUAUUGCAGGAACCUAUUUCCUGCCGUAUCGAUUCAAGAACGGAGAGCGUGGGGUUAUGCUUUUGGUUUCCUUACGUGCACCAGUUAUGGAGAGAUUUGCAAUACUAUUAGAGGAAUUGGCAAGGCAUGACCCAGAAAGAAGCCAAGAACAACAAGAAAUGAUACCAAGCUCCCUAUAAGACAGGAGAGGCUAUGAUAUUAUUCUGUUCUUGGCCGGAUAAGCCUUUGGUACCAAAAAAAAUAUUUUAAAGCAGAUGGUGGCGAAGUUCCGAUAAGCCUUUAAAUUUAUUUAUUACCAGCAAGCCCGUACUCUUUGACCUUGUUGUGAUUGUAUACUUAGACAUAUGAGUUGGAGUUUUCAUGAAAAAUUGGUGAUUUGUGUGUUUUCAAAUUGUUUACAGUUGUAAAAUUUAGGUCUCAUGACUAUUAUUUUGUUUAGUGUGCUAUCACUUUUAUAUUCAAUAAUAAGAUCAAUAUUUUGUUUCCAAUAUAUAGUUUCGUGAGUUAAUUAGGGUUUUGAGCUUUUGUAUAAAAACAAAUUAGGGUUUUGAUCAACAUAUAUAUGCCAUUUUGUUGAACAAAAAUUCUUGGAAAUCCAUUGGACAACAACCAUUUAUUUUUUCUAUUUUUUUGCCCGAGUUAAAGCAACACCAUAAUAACUUAGGAAAGCUCCAUAUAAAAAAAGAGAGAAAAAGUCAAUGCUAGUGAGGUUGACGUAUAAGAGUUUGCAAAACAGAAAGUACUUCAAAAGCAAAAUAUUCCAUAGAGUAGAUCUAAACAAAACUGAAAAAAACGAAAAAAAAUUCAAUUACAUUGAGCUUUGUUAAAAAAAAACUCUAUAGUGUAAUUUUUUUUCUUUUUUCACAUAUCUUUAUGAGUCAUUUAUAAUUUCAAGUUUAUUUAAUGUAAAAAUCUCAAUAAAUUAUCGAGCUUUAUUACAGCACUAGUGUUACCUAUAAAAUAAAUUGUAUUUAUGAUUUUGUAUGUGUUAUGGUUUGUUUUAUAUUUUGUAAAAUUGUAUUUAUUUGUAAAUUGUUGAAACUUAUAUCAAAUUACCAACAUAGGUGUGUUGUGAUGAAAUAAAUAAUGACUUAUUUAAGGGUCCGUUUUAUAUUUUAUCAAUUUUAUUUCCGAGUUGUAAUUUCUGUAAAUAUAUACAAAUUUAUAUGUACUUAGAUAAUUGGUAAUUAAUUAAGAGAAGUAUUAAAGUAAGUUAAAUAAUCUUAAACCAAUAUUUUUAUAAAUUUAUUUAGUUAACGAAGUUAAUUAAUACAUGUUGUCAUCAUUAUUUAAUAUAGGUUCGAUAGAAGUCAUGAAUGAUCGUUCAUGGAUAUAUCGAGAUUCACCCUAAGGAUUGCAGAGGAGGGAUUAUUGUAAUGAGGUUUAGAGUUUUAUUAAUUACGUAAUACCUAAUCCAAGAAAUAUUAGUGGAGGUAGUAUUAGGUGUCUGACACGAUCAAAUAGUUGAUGUCUUAUCCCAAGUGCAGGAGUGUCAAAGUAAUAAAUAACCCAGCAAGACCGGGGUCGAACCACAGGGAGGUGAACUAUAUAAAUUAUAAAUAAUAAUAAUAAUAACAACAACAACAACAACAACAACAAUGAUGAUGAUGAUGGUGAUGAUGAGUUAAAGAUGACUUUGAGAUGUAAGAUAAAUGUGAAGAUUAAACAAUGAUAAAAACAAAUGUCAAGGUUAGAGGAUCCACUAAUAGUAUUAGAGAUAAGUAAAGUAUAAACUCUUUAUAAAUUAUCAAUAUAAUCAUAUUAAUCAUCUUAUUUACGUAACACCAUACUUAUAAAUUUUAUCAGGUAUUCAUGAUGCUAACUUAUGUUGACAACAAAUCAAGUUCCUCUCAUAAUAAUGAUGUCGGCCGAAGACUAUGAAGGAUCAAGUAUUUGAUGUACCAAGUGUUAUACAACACAAAUCUAGAUUAACCAUUUAACAAGUAAGGUAUUAAGAAUUAAUAAGUUAAAAAUGAUAAGACAUGUUAAUAGCAAACUUUCUUGGAUAUAAACAUUAAAGUUCAUGUUAAGUUUAUAUUAUACUUAUCCUAACACCAUUAGUGAAACCUUUUCACCUUGACAUAAUUAACUUAGCUAGACAUUAUGAAGAAGAAAAACAUAAAUAAACAAUACAAGAACAUAAACAUGAUAUAAGUUAACUAACUAUAGUAAAGGAAAUGAAAGGCAUGAACAAGAGAUUAAUGAAAGCAAAACUUAAGUAUUACAAAAAUAUAAAGAGAGAGCAAGAACAUGAUCUUGAUAUGAAGAACCAAGAUUCCUAAAUGAAUGGCAAAUGCCUCCUUUUAUAGGCUAAAGUUCAGAACUAUUCAUUUGGUAAUUGAUUAUUGAUGUAGUGGCCAACUAUUGAUUUAGUGGACUUGGUGGACAGCAACACUCAAGCAUUUUGGCUGGAUAAAUUGACAUUGAUGCAAUCCGAAUUUGGCAAAGUGUUCCUCAUGCAAGUUGUUGGAAAUCAUCUUAUCUUUCCACCCAUAUAAUUUCAGAGCAUUUGGAUGACUAAAGCUCGAGAUAUGGCUAAACUACUGAGUAGUGCUGCUGGUGGACGUGGUGGAUAGCCCUCAAGCUCUUGUCUGGAUGAAAGGUCAUUGUUACCAUCAGAAUUUGAGCAGGUCUUCUUCAUAAAAGUUGUUGGAAAUUGUCUUUUCCUUCCACCUACCAAAGGUCACGUCAUUUAGCCUUCUAGAACUCCAGAUAUGGGUAAACGUCUGAGCAGUGUUUGGGCUGGAUUGCAGGACAGAUUCUGGCUUCUCUUUUGUGGCCAAACUUUGGAUUUGAAAACGGCAGAUUUGGGUCUUCCACUAUUCAUGAACAUUGUAGGCCUAUUUCUUAUCUUUCUAUCCAUAUAAAUUAAACUGAAAUCCAAGAUCUACAGCUCCAGAUAUGACCCAAUAACUGAACAGUGUGUCAAUUUGAAUUGAAUCGGUAUCUCCUUUCUAAGCUUCGCCUUUUCUUUGUCCUUUCACUUUCAAUAGUUAAUCACAUCAAUCAAUCAUUUGAAUUGUGAGAUAUGCCUGCAUUUAAAAUAAGCAUUUACCAUAAAUUAAAGCUAUCUUAUAUUAUCAGACUUGUUAUUAUAAAACAUGCUCUAGAUAAAGAGUUAUUGAUACUUCAAGUGCAAAAUAAUGAUAUAAAACCUUGAUAAAAAUGCACUUUUAAGUACUAAUCACACACCCCAACCAGUUUAUUACUAGUCCCUAGUAAUCAAAGCAUUAAAAUAGAAAAAAAAACAAUUUGCAAGUUCCACAAAGCAAGGCAUUCAUCAUUUAACUUCCAUUAAUCUUGUUGCUACCCAAUUUUUGACCCACCUUUUUGAUAAAAUUUUCGGAAAAUCCAAAGAUAGCGAAAAACAACGAAAAUCCAAAAAAAUACAGCUAUUGACACACCUCCCAUUAACCCAAGGCUGCCUCCGCCAUACACUAAAUGAAUCUUUCUCUCAGCUAAUACCUGACCAAGAUGAUUUGCUGAUUCUAAAAACUCUUUUUCUUUCCCAGGACUGGAUCCACCGAAAACACAAAUAUUUCUUAUUUGAGGACUUGAGGAACCUGCCAUUUCUACACACUUCGAUAUCUGUUAAAUGUGUGGGUUGAGUAAAAAUGAAGGGAAGGAAGAGAAGAUUUUAUAGAUGAGAAAUUGAAAAAGCAAUCAUACCACCUAUAUAUAGGCCAGCUGAAGUCUCUCUCUCUCUCUCUCUCUCUUUUUAUUUUAAAAAAAACAUGUGUAUGUACAAGCAGUUGUGAUUGUGGCUCACAUCUUCCCUUGGUUUUACGUCCAAGAACGGCUUAAACACCCUCUAUGGGUCGGGGAUAUGCUUCCCAUCCAAUUUUCUUAAAAACUAGCAAACAGGGUCUUUUUUAGUCAGAUUCCCAAGACUAUGUUGAGCAUGUUCCUUAUGAAAUUGUGGCCAUAAAUCAUGAAUUGCACGAUGCACAUCUCCACUAGGGUGCGUCUCAAGAGUCAACAGAAGAUUAUCUAAAGACUCCUUACUCAGGUCAUCCUUAAUGAACUGUAUUUUAUCUUCAUGAUUUACAGAUACCAUUCCUAAAGAACGACAUUUUGCAUCACAAGUCCAUCUGACACAUCUGUGACAGACUUGUAGUCGUUUUGCACGACGUUUCUUUGCAAAAGUGCUUUUACCUGUUCCAGGCAUGUAUGAAAUGAAAGAAUUGGAGGACUCACCUGAUAAUCGGACCUUUGCUUCAAUUAGCCAGCGAAUAUCUUUAGGAAUUCCAUGGUUCAUUAACAAUCGCAAUCUUGCACAUCUAGCACGAUAAAUUUUUGUAAUCGCAUUCUGAGGCAGAGCAGGAAAAUACUUUUUCAAUUUUUCAAGAGUGGUGUCCAUUUUUUUUUUAGAUGAGAAGUGGAAAAGAGAUGCAAAGAAGGGAGAAAGAGCAAAGAAUUGCACAAACAUAUACACAUAUAUCAGUUAUCAUGGGAAACUGAAAGAACCGACUUUAAGAGUCACGGAGUACCGUUAUCCGCCAUUUGACCGGGGUGAGAGAAACUAGCAAAACAAAGGUCACACAAAAAAGAAACACAAAAACAAUGUGAGAAAAAGAAUCAAUCUUUAUAUACAGGAUCACCCAAUUCAAUAGAGUCAUUUUCAACUGAAAAAUUGUCAAAGUAAACUUUCAAACGAUGUCCAUUUACCUUGAAAACAUUACCAUUCUUUGGAUUCUCAAUAUCACAGGCCCCAUAUGGAUACACAUGUUUCACAAUAAAAGGACCGCUCCAUCUUGAUCUUAGUUUUCCAGGAAACAAAUGGAGUCGAGAAUUAUAAAGCAAGACUUUUUGACCAACAUUGAAUGUUUUUCUCAAUAUUUUCUUGUCAUGAAACUCUUUGAUUCUUGCUUUAUGAAUUCUUGAAUUUUCAUAUGCAUCAUUUCUUAUUUCCUCAAGCUUAUUUAUUUGUAAUUUUCGCAGCUGACUAGCAUCAUCAAGAUUUGAAUUGAAAGCUUUAAUAGCCCAAUAAACUUUAUGUUCAAGUUCCACAGGUAAGUGACAAGGUUUCCCAUAGACUAGUCUAUAAGGUGACAUACCUAAUGAUGUUUUAUAAGCAGUUCGAUAAGCCCAAAGUGCAUCAUUAAGUCUUAAAGACCAGUCUUUCCUAUUAGGGUUCACUGUUUUCUCCAAGAUCUGUUUGAUCUCCCUAUUAGCACGUUCUACUUGUCGACUUGUUUGAGGGUGAUAAGGGGUGGCAACUUUAUGUGUGAUUCCAUAUUUCUUCAUUAAAGACUCAAAUGACUUGUUGCAGAAAUGUGUUCCACCAUCACUUAUCAUGGCUCGAGGGAUUUCAAAUCGACUUAAAAUAUUUUCUUUCAAAAACUUUAUCACUAUUUUGUGAUCAUUGUUUCGACUUGGAAUUGCCUCUAUCCAUUUUGAAACAUAAUCUACUGCGACUAAUAUGUACAAGAAACCAAAUGAUGGAGGAAAUGGACCCAUAAAAUCUAUACCCCAACAGUCAAAGAUCUCAAUGACAAGAAUAGGAUUUAAAGGCAUCAUGUGAUGUUUUGAAAUAGAUCCCAACUUUUGACAAUUUUCACAAAUCUUGCAGAAUGCAUGUGUGUCCUUGAACAUGGUGGGCCAAUAAAAUCCACUUUGUAAGAUUUUUGCAGUUGUCUUUCUUGAUGAGAAAUGACCCCCACAUGCCUCAGAAUGACAAAAUUUAAUGACACUACUUACCUCAUUGUCAGGAAUGUAUCUUCGAAAUAUUUGAUCAGGACAAUAUUUGAAUAAAUAAGGGUCAUCCCAAUAAAAGUUCUUCACUUCGGUCAAGAACUUUCUUUUGUCUUGGGUGUUCCAAUGAGCUGGCAAAUGUCCUGAAACAAGAAAAUUAACAAUAUUAGCAAACCAAGGCAUUGUAGCAACAGAAAGUAAAUAUUCAUCAAGAAAGUAAUCAUUGAUUUGUGUGAUGUCAGAUGUGGAAUCUAUUGUCAAUCUUGACAAAUGAUCCGCGACAACAUUUUCGGUGCCUUUCUUGUCUUUGAUUGUGAUAUCAAAUUCUUGAAGUAACAAAAUCCAUCGUACCAAUCUAGCCUUAGAAUCCUUUUUUGAAAGAAGAUAUUUCAAAGCUGCAUGAUCACUAAAAAUAACAACAGGUGAGCCAACAAGAUAAGAUCUGAACUUGUCACAUGCAAAUACUACUGCAAGUAAUUCCUUUUCAGUGGUAGUAUAAUUCAUUUGAGCACUAUUUAAAGUUUUACUUGCAUAGUAAAUCACAUAGGGUUUCUUAUCUUUUCUUUGUCCUAAGACAGCACCUACGGCAUAAUCACUAGCAUCACACAUUAUUUCAAAAGGUAAUGACCAAUCAGGAGGUUGAAUGACAGGAGCAGAAGUAAGCAAGCUUUUAAGUUUAACAAAGGCUUUUUCACAUUGUUCAGUCCAUUCAAAAACAUUUUCCUUUGUUAGAAGGUUACACAAUGGCUUAGAUAUGACACUAAAAUCUUUGAUAAACCUUCUGUAAAAACCAGCAUGUCCUAAGAAUGAUCUAACAUCUUUAACAGAUUUUGGUGUUGGCAAGUUGGCAAUUAACUCGAUUUUAGAUUUGUCAACCUCAAUUCCUUUCGAUGAAACAAUAUGACCCAGUACAAUGCCGUUUGUUACCAUAAAAUGAUAUUUUUCCCAAUUCAACACAAGAUUCUUCUCUUCACACCUGCUCAAAACCUUUUCUAAGUUAGUCAAACAAUCAUCAAAUGAAUCGCCAAAAACAGAAAAAUCAUCCAUAAAAAUUUCAAGAAAACAUUCAACCAUAUCACUGAAUAUGCUAAGCAUGCAUCUUUGAAACGUGGCUGGUGCAUUACAUAAUCCAAAAGGCAUCCUUCUAUAUGCAAAAGUUCCAAAUGGACAUGUGAAAGUAGUCUUCUCUUGAUCUUCCAAUGCAAUUUCAAUUUGGUUGUAACUUGAAUAGCCAUAUAGGAAACAAUAAAAUUCAUGACCUGCAACUCUUUCUAGGAUUUGAUCCAUGAAAGGUAAAGGGAAAUGAUCUUUUCUAGUCAUUGAAUUAAGUUUCCUAUAGUCAAUGCACAUGCGCCAACCAGUAAUAGUCCUAGUUGGAAUUAACUCAUUUUUCUCAUUUGUUAUCACAGUAACUCCAGACUUCUUGGGUACAACUUGGGUAGGACUUACCCAUUUGCUGUCAGAAAUAGGAUAAAUAAUUCCAUUAUCUAGAAGCUUAAUGACUUCAUUCCUCACUACUUCUUUCAUAUUAGGAUUAAGCCUUCGUUGCAUUUCUCUAGAGGGUUUAACAUUUUCCUCCAAAUAAAUCUUGUUUGUGCAAAUCAAAGGACUAAUUCCUUUUAUGUCAGCUAUGGUCCAUCCUAAUGCAUUUUUGUGCAUUUUCAGAGUUUGUAACAACUUACCUUCUUGAUGUGCAUUAAGUUUGGAAGAGAUUAUUACCAGAAAAGUUUCAUUUUCUCCCAAAAAUGAGUAUUUAAGAUUGAAUGGUAAUGGCUUCAAAUCAGGUUUUGGUGGUUGAACACUUGAAGGUAUAGACUCAAUUGAUCGUGGUGGCAAUUCUUCAAUUUGUGGUCUCCAAUUACUUGCCCUUGAUUCUUCCUGAAAAUAAACCAUUUACAAAUCUUCAGAUUCAUUAAACUCAAUUUCAUUGGAAGUAGUUUGAAAUUGAUCAUAAACUAAUUUUUCAAUAAAGUCUACUUCCUGUAAAUCAUUAUCAUCUCCAGGUUGCUUGCAAAUGUUAAAAACAUUCAUCUCUAAUGUCAUGUUUCCAAAUGAUAACUUCAUCAGUCCAUUCCUACAAUUAAUCAAUGCAUUAGAAGUUGCAAGAAACGGACGUCCUAAAAUAACAGGAAUUGAAUUACAUGUUUCAACAGGUUGUGUAUCCAAGACAACAAAAUCCACAGGAUAAAUGAAUUUAUCAACUUGUACUAACACAUCUUCAACUAUUCCUCUAGGCACUUUUACAGAUCUAUCGGCAAGUAAAAGAGUUACAGAAGUUGGUUUUAACUCACCUAGAUUGAGACUCUGAAAGACUGAAUAUGGAAGUAAAUUCAUACUAGCUCCAAGAUCAAGUAAAGCUCUUUUAAUUUUAUGUUCUCCAAUAAAGCAAGAAAUUGUAGGACAACCAGGGUCUUUAUAUUUCAAAGCAUUAUUGUUCUGAAGAAUGACACUUGUUCGGCUAAAAAGGCUUUCUUUUUCACAUUUAGUUUUCUCUUCACAGUGCACAGAUCUUUUAAAAAUUUAGCAUAAGAAGGUACCUGUUUAAUAGCAUCUAACAAAGGUAUAUUGAUCCUUACCUGUUUGAAAGUUUCAAAGAUUUCAAAGUUGUGAUUGACUUUCCUUUGUUUGGUAAUGGUAUGAGGAAAUGGAAGUGCUGGCAGGGAAUCCGUCUUUUCUUUACAAUGUUCAGAUUCAACCCCUUCCUUACCCUCGAAGAUUAACUCAUCAUCUUUCUCACAAGGUUCAAGAGUGGGUUUUUCAAUAACCUUACCACUGCGAAGAGUGAUGACUGAUUUGACUUGAUCCAUGUGUUGGCUUCCGGAACUACUUGCAUUUGCAUUGGAUUGCCCCUUGGGAUUUUGCUGUGGUAGAGAUGGAAACUUACCUUUCUCUUGAAAACUGAGAGAAGAUGUGAAUUUUGCAAGAGCAUCUUUUAGAUCUGCCAUGGUUUGAGCAUUUUGAGUAUUGAUUGUCUCCUGCUUUUCAAUGAAUGCAUGCAAUGUUUUCUCAAGAUUUCUUCUAGGAGGUGGAGCAUAAGGAGGUGCAUAUCCAUGAGAAUUUUGGAAAUUAUGGUGUGCUUGAAAUGGUGGCUGUAAAGUUUGUGCAUUAUUGUUACUACUCUUCCAACUGAAAUUUGGGUGAUUUCUCCAACCAGGGUUAUAUGUUUACGAGUAUGGGUUAUGAUUUGGCCUUUGGAAACUAUUUAAAGCAUGGGCUUGUUCAUGGAGGCAUUCUUUGAAAGAAGACAAAGUUGGACAGUCAUUGGUUGCAUGUUCAUUCGUUUCACAGAUUUAACACACAAUGUCUUGAACAGAUUUUAAUUGACCACUCUUUUUUAAUUCUAGUGCCUCAACUUUUCUAGCUAAUGAUGCAAAUUUGGCUUGGAGGUCAUGAUCUUCCCUAAGGUUGUACAUACCUCCACUAGAUGUAUGAGGUUGAGUUUUACCUGGUGCCUCAUAACUGCCUGUAGUGUCCUAAUUUUGAGCAUUUUCAGCUAGCAAGUCUAGGUACUCCAUUGCUUCAUCAGGGUCUUUAUUUUCAAAAGUUCCAUUGCACAUCAAAUCCACCAUUUGUCUAUCUUUAGGUGUUAACCCUUCAUAAAAAUGUGAAACCAAUCUCCAUAUUUCAAAACCAUGAUGAGGGCAAGUAUUAAGCAAAUCUCGAUACUUAUCCCAACAUUGGUAAAAUGUUUUUCCUGGAUUUUGAGUGAAAGUGGUGAUUUGUCUUUUGAAAGAGUUUGUUCUGUGAGAUGGAAAAAUCUUCGUUAAAAAUUGUUGUUGCAUUUCAUCCCAAGCACGAAUGGAUCCUGACCUAAGAUUUUGUAGCCAUGUUUUAGCUUUAUCUUUUAACGAAAAAGGAAAGAGCUUUAAUCUGAUGGUGUUCAUGCUACAAUUUAAGUUAUUAUAGGUGUUACAGACUUCUUCAAAUUCUCUCAAAUGCAAGUAUGGAUUUUCUAGAUUUAAGCCAUGAAAAGAAGGUAAAAGUUGAAUAAUGCCUGGCUUAAAAUUAAAGUGAGAUGCAUCAGGAGGGAAAACUAUACAUGAGGGUGCACUUGUUCUUGUUGGAUUCAUGUGGUCUCUUAAUGUUCUAACUCGAUUAUUCUCAUUAUUCUCAUUAUGAAGUGAUUGAUUAUCUUCUUCGGCCAUAUUUUCUGAAAAUGAUGAGGAUACCCUACAAAGUCUACCACUUAAUGUACGUGACCAAACUCUCAUGCACGUGUAGAAAGAGAAUAAAAGGAAGAAGAAAACAAAAGAAAAAGAAACAAAACAAAAGAAACAAAAGUUAGAUACAAGAAAAGUGGAAAGUGAAAAUAAAAUAAAUAUUAUAAUUUAUACAAGAAUUUACCUCCCCGGCAACGGCGCCAAAAACUUGACACGAUCAAAGAGUUGAUGUCUUAUCCCAAGUGCAGGAGUGUCAAAGUAAUAAAUAACCCAGCAAGACCGGGGUCGAACCACAGGGAGGUGAACUAUAUAAAUUAUAAAUAAUAAUAAUAAUAAUAAUAAGAACAACAACAACAACAAUGAUGAUGAUGAUGGUGAUGAUGAGUUAAAGAGGACUUUGAGAUGAAAUAGGACUUUGAGAUGUAAGAUAAAUGUGAAGAUUAAACAAUGAUAAAAACAAAUGUCAAGGUUAGAGGAUCUACUAAUAGUAUUAGAGAUAAGUAAAGUAUAAACUCUUUAUAAAUUAUCAACAUAAUCAUAUUAAUCAUCUUAUUUUAUCAGGUAUUCAUGAUGCUAACUUAUGUUGACAACAAAUCAAGUUCCUCUCAUAAUAACGAUGUCGGCCGAAGACUAUGAAGGAUCAAGUAUUUGAUGUACCAAGUGUUAUACAACACAAAUCUAGAUUAACCAUUUAACAAGCAAAGUAUUAAGAAUUAAUAAGAUAAAAAUGAUAAGACAUGUUAAUAGCAAACUUUCUUGGAUAUAAACAUUAAAGUCCAUGUUGAGUUUAUAUUAUACUUAUCCUAACACCAUUAGUGAAACCUUUUCACCUUGACAUAAUUAACUUAGCUAGACAUUAUGAAGAAGAAAAACAUAAAUAAACAAUAUAAGAACAUAAACAUGAUAUAAGUUAACUAACUAUAGUAAAGGAAAUGAAAAGCAUGAACAAGAGAUUAAUGAAAGCAAAACUUAAGUAUUACAAAAAUAUAAAGAGAGAGCAAGAACAUGAUCUUGAUAUGAAGAACCAAGAUUCCUAAAUGAAUGGCAAAUGCCUCCUUUUAUAGGCUAAAAUUCAGAACUAUUCAUUUGGUAAUUGAUUAUUGAUGUAGUGGCCAACUAUUGAUUUAGUGGACUUGGUGGACAGCAGCACUCAAGCAUUUUGGCUGGAUAAAUUGACAUUGAUGCAAUCAGAAUUUGGCAAAGUGUUUCUUAUGCAAGUUGUUGGAAAUCAUCUUAUCUUUCCACCCAUAAAAGUUCAGAGCAUUUGGAUGACUAAAGCUCGAGAUAUGGCUAAACUACUGAGUAGUGCUGCUGGUGGACGUGGUGGAUAGCCCUCAAGCUCUUGUCUGGAUGAAAGGUCAUUGUUACCAUCAGAAUUUGAGCAGGUAUUCUUCAUGAAAGUUGUUGGAAAUUGUCUUUUCCUUCCACCUACCAAAGGUCACAUCAUUUGGCCUUCUAGAACUCCAGAUAUGGGUAAACGUCUGAGCAGUGUUUGGGCUGGAUUGCAGGAUAGAUUCUGGCUUCUCUUUUGUGGCCAAACUUUGGAUUUGAAAACGGCAGAUUUGGGUCUUCCACUAUUCAUGAACAUUGUAGGCCUAUUUCUUAUCUUUCUAUCCAUAUAAAUUAAACUGAAAUCCAAGAUCUAUAGCUCCAGAUAUGACCCAAUAACUGAACAGUGUGUGAAUUUGAAUUGAAUCGGUAUCUCCUUUCUAAGCUUUGCCUUUUCUUUGUCCUUUCACUUUCAAUAGUUAAUAACAUCAAUCAAUCCUUUGAAUUGUGAGAUAUGCCUGCAUUUAAAAUAAGCAUUUACCAUAAAUUAAAGCUAUCUUAUAUUAUCAGACUUGUUAUUAUAAAACAUGCUCUAGAUAAAGAGUUAUUGAUACUUCAAGUGCAAAAUAAUGAUAUAAAACCUUGAUAAAAAUGCACUUUUAAGUACUAAUCAGUGUCCAUGCAAGAUGUGUAAGAAUAAAAAGUUUCUCGAUCCAGAUGUUGUAAUGAUACAUGUUCUACACAAAGGGUUCUUGGAGGAAUAUAUGUGUUGGUAUGCACAUGAAAAACCAUUUGUUCCUCACGAGACCAUGGUCGAAAGGAUGGAUUGGUCAACUUCUAGUGCUAGCAACGUGUAUGGAGUUGUAAAUGACAACAAUAAUUCUUAUAAAACUAUGGUUAUGGAUGCGAUGAGAAUGAAUUAGGGUCAUACCGAUCAAUAUCCAAUCAUAGAAGAAGAACCUACAUGUUGUUACCCAAUUUUUAACCCAUCUUUUUGAUAAAAUUUUCAAAAAUAAAAAAAUAGUGAAAAACAACGAAAAUCCAAAAAAUAUGUUUUUUCAAUGUAUUUGCAUCAUUUUUAUCAUUUUCAACAUUAUCUCAAAAGAAUUUAAAUUUUUAAAAGUCUUUUGAACGCGUUUUACUUUUCACGCGUUAUAUUUUAAAAUCAAUGAUCUUCCUCAUUCAAGUUGAUGUUGAUAAGAAAAAUCUAAAAAAAAAGAAAAAUCAAAUUUAUAAAAAAAGAAAGAAGUUGAGGGACCAAGUUUGGAAACCUAGCAAUAUUUUUACCUAUAAAUACUGGUCUUUAUAACACACACAAGAAGGGGGCAAUUUUGCACAUUUGGAGGUAAAAAAAAAAAAAAAACCUAACCCUAAAACUUCAUCUCUUUCAAACCAGCCCCCGCUCACCAUCUUGAAGAAAGGAGCCACAGCCCCCCGCUCUGAUUUUGUUUGAAACGAAACCGCCAUCCCUCCCGGGGGUCCUUGGGUUUUUUUUGCUCUCCCAGAACCAAAGAGCCAAGGACCCCCUGCCAUUUCAUUUCUUCUCCCCUCUCCUGGCCGGUUCCACCAUCUCCUCCCACUCUCCCUUGCCCUCUGCCAAAAGAAAACCAGUCGCUCAAGCCCCCUUCCCCGGAGCUUUUGCUCCAUCUUCUUCUCCUCUCUCCUUCGACUAUCCUCUAGUGGCAGCCAAACACAGCAAUAGCCCCCACUCUCUUCAUCAUCUCCUUCAACUGGUCAGCAGCAACGCCGUCCUCCACCGGCCUCCAGCAGCAGUCCAAGCACGACAGAACCCAUAGACCCACCGUUGUCCCUUUCCCCAGCGGCGACACCCGCAACUCCAACUUCCAACACUCCUUCCAUAACCGCCAUAUCUGCCGCUUGAAGAAGAAGGAAAGAAUAACAAACCCGAACACAACAGCAGACCCGAGAACGGACCUGCACAAAAAAAAAAAAUUAAAAUCAACUGAUGUUUGUGCGUUGUUUCCCUUGUUGCAGGUGAUGGUGGUCCUCACCGACAACGUAGGAAGACAGAGAAGAAGAAGAUGUUCCCGAUCUACCAGUUUUGUUGCCUUCAUCGGCGUCGGCGCGUGAUCCCACGCGCUGCCAGUGACGGUGACGCGUGGAGCAACGCGCCGCUGCUGUUUCUGCAGUUUUAGAGGGCUUCCCGACACUGUUCCUAAAUUUUUUGGGGUUCAUUUUGUAAAUUUAAAAUUUUUUAAUGUGUUUUUUGGUUUAUUUUGAAUUUUGAUUGAUUUGUAAUCAUGUAAUGGGUGUGUUUAAACAUAGUAAAAGGAAAAUGUUUGAGUGGGUGUUUUGUUAUUAUUUUUUAUGUAUAUGUUGUUUAUGAUAAAACUAAAAAGAAAAAAAGAAAAAAAAAUUAAAUGUUUUAAUUUGCAUUGAAUUUGGUUCAUAUUUCAAAAAAAUAUCAAAAAUAUUUUUUUGGUAUCGGGGAUUAUAAUCUUAUACGUAAGAUGUAUUCUUGAUAUUAAAUUGAAAAGUUUGUUUUGUUUUAUUGAUGCUAAAGCAAUUAGAUUUUCUUUACCUAAUAAAAUAAGGAUCUCUUACCGAGGAUAACUUCUUUUUUUUUACGAAAUCAUUGGCAGGACAAGUUUCAAAAUCUUUUAAAUCACAUCAAAUCACGAAGCAGCUUACCUCAGGUAGGGUGUGUUAGGGGUGCUAAUACCUUCUCUAGCCACAACUAGCCCCUUACCCGUGAAUCUCUGACAAAGACCAGUACAUCUAGGUUUCGUAGUAACCCUGAAUCGAAUACUAGGUGGCGACUCCAAAAGAAUCAAGCAAACGAACGAAAAUCACUAAACAACGCCACGCGGGUGACGUGCGACACUACAUACUUAGAUUAAAUAAUUCUAUUAUUUGCUUCGUAUCGGGUGGCAAGAGGUAACUCAUUAAUCGCAAGAUCAAUCUUUGCUAUUGGUUUUUUGAAAUUCUUCAUAUCCAUGUUCCAUUAGCUUUAUUCAUGUAAAUAUUUUGAUAGAUUUCAACUUGUUUGGUGAUUUCAAUGUAAAUGUAUUUGAAUCUUUUGCAAUAAAAUACUGUAGAAUGACAACUGUUGCUAUCUAAUUUUUGACCCAUCUUUUUAAUAAAAUUUUUGAAAAAUCCAAAAAUAGCGAAAAACAAUGAAAAUUUUAAAAAUAUGUUUUUAAUAUAUUUUCAUCGUUUUUAGCAUUUUCAGCAUUGUCUCAAAAGAAUUUAAAUUUUCAAAGGUAUUUUGAACGCGUUCGACUUUUCACGCAUCAUUUUUAAAAUCAUUGAUUUUUCUUAUUGAGUCGACGUUGAUAUUGCUCAUUUUAAAAAAAUACAAAAAAAAUAAGAAAAAUCAAAAUUUACAAAAAAGAAGAAGUUGAGGGACCAUGUUUGAGGACCAAACAAUAUUUUGCCUAUAAAUAUGAGUCUAUAACACAAAAAAAUGGAGGGGUGGGGCAUUUUUUCACAAUUUGAAGAACCACACAAAACCCUAAAUCACAAAAAACCCUAAAAAUUUGAACCCUUUCUUCUCCCUCACGGAAGCCGCCGCUCAUUCCCUAUCUCUACCAAAAAAAGCCCCCCCCCGGCUUUGAAAUAACCUUUGCUAGGAUCACACCCCACUGGGGGCAAGUGCGAGAGAUAUAGAAAAAAAAAUCAAUGAUUGAAAGUGCCUCAAAUGAACCAGGGGGCAUCAAAACAAAAUUUCUCAAUGGUCAAAGGUGCCCAAACAAAGAUGGGGGCAUGGAGAAAAAUUCAAAGGAUCUAAAAGAUUUGAGUUUCUAAAAAUAACUGAUACGAUGAUACUUAACCAAGUGAAGAAUGAAGAAAAUAAAGAGAAAGAGCCCAAGACCAACAUUGAGGGGCACAAUAGACCAUUUUGGAAAGACAUUCCAAAGAUAAAAGGCCAUCAAAUAAGCACUAGUGAUCCUCUUGAAAUCCCUUAAACACCUUUUGAGCUUAUAAAAGUCAUUUUUCUUCAUAACCAAGAGCCCAAGCCUACAUUACAUGCCUAAUUAAGCUCUUUCUGAUCAAAGGCGAGCAAUUUAGAUUGGUAGGCAAUGUUUUCUUAUGCGAACCAAAUCAUUAUUCAUGCAAAUAAAAUGAAUGUUUUGAAAAUCGAUUCUUUGUAACCCUCAAAUUGAAGUUUGAACCUCUUGACCAACCAAAUGUCAUUUUAUAUUUUCACCAAAAGCAAAACAAAAAGUUUUCAUCACUUCUGAAAACCUCUCCAUAGGAAUCACUUGAAUUUCUUCAGAAUGAGUUUGCUUUGAAUUGAUGUAAAAAUAAUUUCUAUGUCUAGAAUAGCUUUGAAAUUCCAAAAUUUCUGCAUGAAAACAUCUCCUUGUCAAACCUUCCUUCACAUAGUCUCAUCCCCAAACCGAAUUGAAUACUUGGGGGCAUGAUCAAGUUGGGGGGCAAUCGAAAACACCUGGUAAGACUUGCUCCAUGAUUCCCUUUCUAAGAAAAAUAUCGGGCAAAAUUGACAACCCUUGAGAUAAAGGGUGGAGGACAAAGAAGUAUGAUGAUAUCAAGUCCUUCCUAGAGGUCAAUAUCACAAGACAUGACUCAAGUAAGCAUGAGCGAAAAGACCAUCGAAGUUUGCUACCAAGACUCAAACUUUUGAGAAAAGGAAGACUCCAUGAGGAAAAGGAGGACCUAUAUUUCUCAGGUAAGUAUACAUGCAUAUUGAUCAUAAUGCAUUGCUUUCAACAUUAUCAUAUCAGUGUUUCACCAUCACCUUUUGCGUAGUGCAUUUUCUAACCCUACAUCAUUUCGAGUGCGCCUUUGAGUCUUUACUUCUUUUUAGAGCGCUUUUGAGCCCUCACCUCUCAGGUAGGGCAUUUUUUAAUCCUACUUCCUUUCAAGUGCACCUUUGAGCCCUUAUCUUUCAGGUAGUGCGUUUCCUAACCUUGCCUUAUUUUGAGUGCGUCUUUGAGCCCUCAUCUCCCUUCAAGCUUUAUCAUGUCGUCAAGACAUCACACUAUUCUCUUUUUCCACUUGGGUAGGUCACCCAUUAUAAUGAGACCAUCAUUUUUUCUGAGUAGGUCACCCAUUACAAUGAGACCACUCUUCCCUUUUUUUUUCCUUGGGUAGGUCACCCAUUACAAUGACACCAUCAUUUUUUCUAGGUAGGUCACCCAUUACAAUGAGAUCAUUCUCCAUGUUUUUUUUAUCUGGGUAGGUCACCCAUUACAAUGAGAUCAUUCUUCCACCUAAGUAGGUCACCCAUUACAAUGAGACCAUCAUUUUUCUCGGUAGGUCACCUAUUACAAUGAGACCAUUCUUCCACCUGGGUAGGUCACCCAUUACAAUGAGACCACUCUUCCUUUUUUCUCCUUGGGUAGGUCACCAAUUACAAUGAGACCAUUCUUCCACCUGGGUAGGUCACCCAUUACAAUGAGACCACUCUUCCUUUUUUCACUUGGGCAGGUCGCCCCUGAAAAUAGACCAGUGUGAGUGUAUGGGUUGAUCACCCCUGAAAAUAGACCAGUGUGAGUGUGUGGGCUGGUCGCCCCUGAAAAUAGACCAGAAUGAGCAUGUGGGCAGGUUGCCCGUGAAAAUAGACCACUAUGAGCAUGUGUGGGCAGGUCGCCCGUGAAAAUAGGCCAUUGUGAGUGUGUGGGCAGGUCAUCCAUGAAAAUAGACUAAUGUGAGUGUGUGGGCAGGUCUCCUGUGAAAGUAGAUUGAUUUUCUUCAAAAGGGUAGGUUGCCCAAAAUAAUGAGACCAUUUUCUUUUUCUUUUCUUUACAAAGCUUACUAUGCAAAACAUUGAGGAGUUUUGCUUCGUAAGCAUUGUAAAGAGGGAGCAUCUAUUGCUACCCAAUUUUUGACCCAUCUUUUUGAUAAAAUUUUUGAAAAAUCCAAAAAUAGCGAAAAACAAUGAAAUUUUUAAAAAUAUGUUUUUAAUAUAUUUGCAUCGUUUUUAGCAUUUUCAGCAGUCUCAAAAUAAUUUAAAUUUUCAAAGGUCUUUUGAACGCGUUCGACUUUUUCUGUGUCAUUUUUAAAAUAAUUGAUUUUCCUUAUUGAGUCGACGUUGAUAUUGCUCAUUUUCAAAAAAUACAAAAAAAAUAAGAAAAAUCAAAAUUUACAAAAAAAGAAGAAGUUGAGGGACCAUAAAUAUAGGAAUUUACCUGGGAGUUACAGACCAUGUUUGAGGACCAAACAAUAUUUUGCCUAUAAAUAUGAGUCUCCAACACUCAAAAAUGGACGGAGGAGGCAAUUUUGCACAAUUUAAGGAACCACAAAAAACCCUAAAAAUUUGAAACCUUUCUUCUCCCUCACGGAAGCCGCCACUCAUUCCCUAUCUCUACCAAAAACAAACCGCCGCCCCCCCUGGCUUUGAAUUUUCCCUCCCAAGACCAGCACCUCUCUUCUUCGUCCGCACACACGCCUAACCACGACUUCCUCUCUAUCCCCAGCAGCAGCAUCUUUGUCUUCUUCCAACCCCGAUCUGUCUUCCUUUCCUCCACAGACCAGCCAAGACAGUCGCUCACUCUCCUCUCAGCCAGUUUUCACCACUAGCUGCAGUAGCGCCGUCCUCACCAGUGAGCCAACAACCCACACAUAGCAGCGCCUGGACAACACUCUUUGUCAUUUUCUGCAACCGGCCUCCAGCAGCAGCCAACACACGGCGUCAACAGUUCCCAUCUCCACACGACAAACUCAAGAUCAGCUCAAGACACAACCGCCUGAUCUGCCACCUAAGGAAGAGAGAAUACAAGAAAAAAUCAAACCGGGAGGAAGAGAGAAAACAGAAGUGAGACAGAUUUGAAAAGGGAGAAGACUCGAAUGAACCAGAUCUGAAAAGGAGAAAAGAACACUAAAAUCGAUUGCUUGUUGUGAUUUUGGGUGUUUUGCAGGUCAAGGCAUCGCCAUCGGGAGGGAAGGGAAGAGAAGAAGAAAGCAGGUCAGAUCCACCCGUUUACAGGCAUUGCAUGCGACGGCGCGUGAACCCACGCGCCUCCAGUGGCAGUGGCGUGUGGAGCAAAUGCACCACCACAUUUCCUACACCCUUAUAGGGCUGCCCGACACUGUUCUUAAUUUUUUUAGGGUUUAUUUUGUAAAUUUCAAAUUGUUUAAUGUACUGUUUAUUUAAUUUCAAAUUUUUAUAAUUUAUAGCGUGCAAAUGUGCAUGUAAAAAAAAAAAACAAAAAAAUAUAGUAAAAGUGAAUGUGUGUGUGUGUGUUUGAAUUUUUUUUAUGGAUGUUUUUCUUUUGAUAAAACCACAAAGAUAAAAGAAGAAUUUAAUGUUUUGAUUUGCUCAUCGUAAAGGAUAAUGAACUUACAUGUAAGUCGUAUUUGUAAUAUCCGAUGAAAAGAUAAAAUCUUUAAAACUUCUUUAUCACAUCAAAUCACGAAACAACUUACCUUAGAUAGGGUGUGCUAGGGGUGCUAAUACCUUCCCUGGCCACAACCAGUCCCUUAUCCGUGAAUCUCUAACAAGACUAGUACACUUGGGUUUCCUAAUUAUCCUGAACCAAAUACUAGGUGGUGACUCCCAAAGAACAAGCAAACGAACAAAAAUUGUCAUCGAACGCUGCGCGGGCACAAGCGACAAAAACUUGUAUUUAUCUUUAUAUAUAUAUAUAUAUAUAAAAUGUAACAUUCUAAAUGUGAAUGAUUUAUUAGUUGUAAAAACACACAAGCGGUGAGGCGUUUUUGGAGAACAGAAGAGGCGAGUCAUUCCACCUCUUAAUUAUAUUCCUUGCAAAUCAAUUCAAUGCCCACUCCACUCAUUAUUAAAAUCCUGUUGAUUUUAAGUAACCUAAGUUAAUUUAAUUUACCUGAAUCAUGGUUCAGAUCUUGUACUGAGUUGACUCAGUCGAUUGAAAUUUGUUUCUUCUUAGUUAGGGAGUCAAUCAUCCUAAGCACACAAUUCUGCAAGUCUUGACUCAGGAGAGAGGCCCAUUUCCUUAAGAGUAAUGAAAGUUGGAAAUAUAAUAAGGUCCAAAGUGAAGAAGUCCCACUUGAACUGAACCUAGCCGUAGGCUUUGGAUUCCAUGAAAACCCAUAUGAUUUAGGUGUCAAGAUAAAUGCUCGACUGAACAAAAUUUCUUGCCUUUUCUUCUCUCUCUCUCCCUCUCUCUCUCUCUCUCUCUCUCUCUAUUCUACCAAAUACAUGACUAUUAUAAAAUAAUCAGUUUUACAUUCACCCAAAUAAAUCUGCAUAAGAUCAUAUUGAAAAUAAGAUUUAUUUUUAUUAUUUUAAAUAAAAAUAAUAGACUUGAAUUGUUUUGAUAACUCGGUUUGACUUAUAAUUUAGUCACAAACUUUUUUUCAAGCAUAUUUUUAUAACAUAACUAAUUCCGUACCUAUUAACAUAAUGUAAUAAAAAUAGUUAAGGUAUAUAUGUAUUUGACAAACGAUAAAGGGCCAAAACUGAAUAUUUGAACCAAAACAGUCUAAAUCCCUUUUGCUACUUGAACUUUCUUGAAUUAAAUAACUUAAGAUAAUUUAGAAGUGUACAAUAACGUUAUUGAAAUUAUAUUUUUUAAAAAUUAAUUAUUUUUAUUUAAAAUUAAUAUUUUAAUAUUUUCAAAUUGUUUUGAUAUACUAAUAUUAAAAAAAAUUAAAAAUAUUAUUUUAAUAUAUUUUCAAGCAAAAAAUAUUUUGAAUCAUAAUCCUCACCGAACUUCCAAAUAUCUCCUUCUAUUUCUAUUAAAAACCCUAUGAUUUAGACAUCACGACAAUGACCUUAACCUUGUCCAUACAAAAAAUGAAUCAAUCGAUCGAUAUUCUCGUAUAUAUUGAUUGGACAAGUUAAUUUUCAACAAGUUCAUAUAUUUUUAACCGUGCCAUGUUAAAUUAUUGACCCUAAAAUUGUAAGAGUAAACUUUAAACUAAGUAAAAAAAAUUGGUAGAAAUAAAAUAAGCUGCUCUCCCUCCCUUCCCCCAGAGGAGGGGAUAAGGUCAGAAUUAGAAAAUUUGAAGUCCUUUUCCUUCCUUCACCCCAAGGAAAGGUUGCUGGCCUUGGUUUUUGUGUUGUUGAAAUGUCAUAAUCUACAACGUCAUCUUCUUUCUAUAACAAAACAACUAUAUUUAAAAUUGUAGAUGUUUAUUACACUAUUGACUUAGUAUUCUCACAUUUCUAAUUUGUUAUGAGUGUUCUUUCAGAAAUGGCUUUGAACGGGCAUAUUGACUUUUUUCUUAUAUUUAAAAAAAAAAACUAAGUUAGCUGNNNNNNNNNNNNNNNNNNNNNNNNNNNNNNNNNNNNNNNNNNNNNNNNNNNNNNNNNNNNNNNNNNNNNNNNNNNNNNNNNNNNNNNNNNNNNNNNNNNNUUAUAUCACUUUGAUGUAUUAAAAAAGACUUAAUACAUUUAUUUAUAAGUUGGUCUGAGAUUUGAACUAAAAUAAUAAUAAAAAAAAAAAAACCUAAUGAGAAUCUCAGAAGAUUUAUAUAUAUAAAAAAAACCUAAUGAGAAUCAACUUCUUAACAUCAAAUCAACUUCUUAAGAUUUAUAUAAAAAAACCUUACUAAUUAAAUUGAAAUCUAUCAUAAAAAAAACCUAAUGAGAAUCUCAGAAGAUACAAGGCAGGAUGCAUGCAUAUGUUUUCCAAGAGUUAUAAUUUACAACAAAUCAUACAAUCAUUUUGAUAAUAGUUGAAGUGUUUUAUUUUAAAAACCUUUAUGAGAUAAUGAUAUUUCGAUGAAAAUAAAAUUAUAAAAAAUACAAAUAAAAGUAUUGAUAUGCAAAACUAAAAGAAUAAUCUAAAAUAACUUUAAGAGGUAACUCAACUAGUCAGGAUUUGGGUGUACUUUCUAAUAGUCACGAGUUCUAGUCUUAUCAUGGCUACUGAAGGUUUAUAUGGUUAUUAACUUCAAAACUCGUGAAAUUAAUUAAAAUACAAGUAAACUGAUGUAGAUAUUUACAUUAAUAAUAAUAAUAAUAAUAAUAAAUCCAAGAGAAUAUAUACAAAUAUAAGUCGAAACCUACCGCCAUUUUCGUUAGAAGAACAUAAACCUACUACCCGUGUAGUGAGUCAACUUGAUGUGCACUUGUAAUUAAGAAUAUACUUAGAGUAUACACGGGACCAACCUACAUGUGAUAUUUAAUACUGAAGAUAGGUAGGCAGAAGCUAAUUCAUUUGUAGGAUUCGAUGUUUAUCUCUCUGGAUUAAAUAAUUAUAUUCUUUGCUUCGUAUCGGCUGGCAAGAAUCGAGAGGUACCUCAUUAAUCGCAAGAUCAAUCUUCAUAUUUUUAUAAAUUUCGACUUCUUCAGUGAUUUCAAUGUAAAUGUAUAAUUAGAAUAUUUUGCAAUAAAAUAAAUUAUAAUUAAAUCUUUGAAUAAAUUCAUCCAUUCAUCAAUGUUAUGUUACUGAAACGACAUUAAAUUAAUCACUGAACAAGUUGAUUAAUUCAAACAACACGCAUUCAAUCAAUAUAAUGGUCUUGAAGAUAAGUGAAUGAACGUUAAACAAUCAAUAAGUUGGGAUUAGAAACUACUGCAUGUAGUUUCUAAUCAAUCACCAUAAUACGGUUAUGAUCAAACAGCACAUACUUAAUGAAGACCAUUCAUCAGUCAACUACUGCAUGUAGAAUAAAAACUUGGAUUUAUCGUUCACCUAACCACUUUGUAAUUUUAUGGAUUGCUUAGCACAUACUUCGAUAUGAUCUUAAUUACUAUUCACUAUCAUGUUGCUUAAUAUUGAUUGGUUAUGUUAUUAUUGGAAAUUCGAAUUCCACGAAGUAAACUAUAAGGCAUGAUCGGUUUGGACGAGGAUGACUUGAUUUGAAAAUAAAAAAAAAUAAUUAUGAUAAGUGAAAGAUGGCUUAAGAGUCUAAUCACUGCUAUUCAUGAUUUAUUUUGUAAGAAGAUGGAUUUUAUCCAUUAUUUGGUACAUAUACUUUUUUUUUUUUAUUGGAGCCUCUUAUGUUUUUUUAUUUAUAAUUGAUUGAGUCCCUCUACUCUUUCUUUUGUUUUGUAAUACUAUGAUUUCAUGCGCUUACAUGGAAUUUUCUUUUAGAUACUAAAUUGAAUGCUUGACGACGCAUGAUCCAAUAACUCCUAUUUUUUAAAAAAUUCUCUCUUUUGAUAUGAAAAUUAAAUGAUUAAAAUAAAAUAAAUAAAUUAGCCUAAACAAACCUAAUUAAUUAAAGUAAUUCAAUUAAUUUCCACAUGUUUAUUUUCUUUUCUUUAUUUCUUUCAUUACGUAAUCUAAAAAAAUAAAAGAGUUAAUUCAAUAGAAAAAAUGUCAUGUAGACAUAUAUCAGUUUGAUGUAUUAAAAAAGAUUUAAUAAAUUUAUUUGUAAGUUGGUCUCCAAAUUUGAACUAAAAUAAUAAUAAUAAUAAUAAAAUCUCUUUGAGCAUCAAACCAACUUUAAAAUUUAUAUAAAAAAACUUCCUAAUUAAAAUCUUUAAACUUUGAACUUGAAAUUUAUUUCAGAUUGGGUUCAUAUUUGAAUAGUCUGGAAAAUUAACCAGGAUAAAAUUCAGGUAAAAUUUGGUUAACAAUUUUAUUUUUAUUGUUUUUUUUAAUAAUAACAAAGUUAUUUUUUAAUUUUUUUAUACUAGAAAAAAACAAUUCUCAAUGAGUAGGCAGCAGCAAUCAAGUUAAUGACAAAACAUAUUUGUUUCCUCAACUUUGCUUGCUUACAAUAUAUUCAUAUGAUAUGGUCAACUAUGACUGUUUUGUGAGUCAUUGAUCUUUCGCUGUUAGCUUCACUGCGUAAAAGAUACAUAUUUAACAAUUAUCAACUAAUAGAUGAAGCCUAUAUCCAAACCAAUCGCACAGCCUUUCGUCCUCCAAGUUCCUUCUAUUUUUCUUAUGUACACAAUUAACAUAUCCUCAAUUACCCUUUUGAUUUUUAUUUUUUUAAUGAAUUAAUUAUGUCAAUAAAAUUUAUAAGAGACGUAGAGGAGGGCAUGAAUAGCACUAGCUAGAAGUCAGUGUAUCAAUGUUAAUGCUCCUCAAAAAGUCAAUGCUGGUGAAGUUGGUAGCAAAAAUAAAUAAUAAUAAAAACAAAUUAAUUGAGUAGCUACAGCUAGAGAGCCAAAUAAAUUGCAGAAGACGUCACACCUUCAUUAAUUAUUGGUUGUAAAUGCCUAUCUAAGGAAACAAUAUUUAAUCUUAUGUGCAGAACUUGAGAGGGAUUCACAGACAUUUUUGUAUUGCUUCUAAGACCUCCCAAAACAACCCAAAAGAAGAUAAAGAAGAGAAAACUCCAUGUUAUUUCUUUAAUACAUCCUACUUUUUUGGAUUUGAAGAUUUUAUAAGUUAAUACUAUUUUAUAUUUAAUUUUUAUCAAAUAAAAUAAAGUGAUGAGAUUUAAACUCAUGAUUACUUGAUCAAUAAAAUUUUAAUAUUAUGAUGAAGAAUUAUUUCAAUUUAAAAAUUUAAAUUAUUGAAUAAAAUCUCGAGAUAUAAUUUAUAUAUUUUUUAAAACAUAACCCAUAAGGGUUUAAGUGAAGGAUAUUAGAGUAUAAAACCAAUCCGGGAUAUAAUAUAAAUUUCUAAAUUUUAAACUUUUGGACAACAAAUAAUUAGUCGACAACUAAUUUGUCUAGUGUUGGUUCAAAUUCUAACUUGGUCAAAGUCUAAGGAAUCCCCUCCAUUAGGCCUUCAUUAGGCACGUAGUUUCCCAAAAUCUAUCCCCUCUAAACUUGAAAGAUAAUUCAAGGGAGAGAGGGUUUCUCAAUAUUAUGAAAGGAAAACCAACAUGGUUAGUACUGGGCAUGACCAUAUUGGAGUAAUAGUUUUAGGAUAAUCUACAAGGUUGGUGUGAUCACAUUUCCAAACCCCACAAAUUAAUGAAAUUUUCAGAAGCCCUUUUAAUUUUCAUACAUGUUUGAAUUUUCUUCUUAUUCGUCCACUUGUUAGUUCCUUCACAGAAUUUUCAAUGAAGAAUAAAGGAAAAAACUAUGAGUAUAACGAUAAAUUAAUAAAAAGAUUCUUCUGUGGGGAAUCAUGAACCAGAAUAAUAAUGAAUUGGAAAUGAGUUAGGUGUUGUAGUGGGUAACGAGUACCUCACUCGUUGAUGAAUUCAUGGUUUUAUAAACGUAAUCAUUUACUACUGUUCCUGCUCCUACCUUUCACACCUACUGCAUGUCCACACAAUCAUUAUUACUAUAAAUAUGUAGCAAGUUUGCCUUCCCAUGCAUUCCAUUUCAAGCAAAAAUAUUCUUGACUGCUGAGGUAGAGCCACCAUUUAUCACAGUUUGCAGCAAACAUACUUUUUGUGCGAUGGCAACACCACCUUCCUUAUCGUUCGCCGUCCGAAGGUGCGAACCAGAAUUGAUUGCUCCAGCUAAGGCCACACCUCAUGAAUUCAGACAGCUUUCUGAUAUUGAUCGACAACUAUACCUCCAAUUUCAAUCACCACAUUACAACUUGUAUGCACACAAUCCAUCGAUGCAAGGGAAAGAUCCUGUGAAGGUAAUAAAGGAGGCAAUUGCGCAGGCACUUGUGUAUUAUUACCCUUUUGCUGGUAGGAUUAGACAAGGGCCAGACAAUAAGCUUAUAGUUGAUUGUACUGGUGAGGGUGUCUUGUUCAUCGAAGCCGAUGCCGAUGCCACGGUCGAGCAGUUUGGUGAUCCAAUUCCAUCUCCAUUCCCAUGUUUUCAGGAACUUCUUUACAACGUCCCAGGAUCAGAAGGGAUCCUCAAUACCCCAUUAUUGCUUUUUCAGGUACGUAUAGGACAUUAUUGGCUAAUGUUUAUUCAUUCUUUCAUUAUUAUUAUUAAUAUUAUCGAGAAAAUUCAAAAAUAUAAUUAAAACAAUGAUGGUAAUAUUCCAUCAAUUACAUUCUCAUAAAGUAUUAAUAAUUUUACGUUAUAUUAACAGGUGACACGCUUGAAGUGUGGCGGUUUUGUACUUGGGUUCCGUCUUAAUCACCCAAUGACCGAUGCACUCGGCAUAGUUCAGCUAUUGAAUGCCAUAGGUGAGAUUGCACGAGGUGCCCAAGCCCCUUCAAUUCUACCUGUGUGGCAAAGGGAACUCCUCUGUGCUAGGAAUCCGCCACGAGUUACAUGCAGACACAAUGAAUAUGGUAAUGAUGCUCCUGUUGCUGUUGAUCCUACAGCCAAGGUGCCUGAAUUCCACGGCCAGGUUCACGCUGUAGCCCACCGUAGUUUUGUUCUCAACCGCAAGGAAUUAUCCAACAUUCGUAGAUGGAUUCCUUCUCAUUUACACCCAUGUUCAAAUUUUGAGGUAAUAAGUGCAUGCUUAUGGAGAUGCUAUGCCAUGGCAUCUCAAGCUAACCCUAAUGAGGAGAUGCGCAUGCAAAUGCUUGUUAACGCACGUUCCAAAUUUAACCCUCCAUUACCGAAAGGAUAUUAUGGUAACGUGCUAGCUUUGCCAGCAGCUGUAACAAAUGCUAGGAAGCUUUGCUUAAACUCUUUAGGGUAUGCUGUGGAAAUGAUAAGAAAUGCCAAGAAUAGAAUAACUGAGGAGUACAUGAGAUCAUUGGCUGAUCUAAUGGAGAUAACCAAAGGGCAGCCUAUAGGGUUACAAUCAUAUGUCGUGUCAGACUUAACAAGUAUUGGGUUCGAUCAGGUGGACUAUGGAUGGGGCAACACAAUUUACACUGGGCCACCCAAGGCCAUGCCUGAUGAAAUUUCUAUUGCAGGAACCUAUUUCCUGCCGUAUCGAUUCAAGAACGGAGAGCGUGGGGUUAUGCUUUUGGUUUCCUUACGUGCACCAGUUAUGGAGAGAUUUGCAAUACUAUUAGAGGAAUUGGCAAGGCAUGACCCAGAAAGAAGCCAAGAACAACAAGAAAUGAUACCAAGCUCCCUAUAAGACAGAGGAAAGGCUAUGAUAUUAUUCUAUUCUUGGCCGGAUAAGCCUUUGGUACCAAAAAAAAUAUUUUAAAGCAGAUGGUGGCGAAGUUUGAAUAAGCCUUUAAAUUUAUUUACUACCAGCAAGCCCGUACUCUUUGACCUUGUUGUGAUUGUAUACUUAGAUAUAUGAGUUGGAGUUGUAAUGAAAAUUUGGUGAUUUGUGUGGUUUCAAAUUGUUUACAGUUGUAAAAUUUAAGUCUCAUGACUUUUAUAUUCAAUAAUAAGAUCAAUAUUUGGUUUCCAAUAGUUUUAUUGAUCCUUGUUUCGUGAGUUAAUUAGGGUUUUGAUCUUUUAUAUAAAAACAAAUUAGGGUUUUGAUCAACAUAUAAAUGCCAUUUUGUUGAGCAAAAAUGACUGCAAAUUCAUUGGACAACAACCGUUGAUUUUUACUAUUUUUUUGCCUGAGUCAAAGCAGCACCAUAAUAACUUAGGAAAGCUGCAUAGAAUUUUGUUUGAGUUACAUUUUUAAGUUGCUUUUAGAUGAAAAAAACUUUUUUAAAAAGAAUAUUCAAGAAUUUUAUCAUUUGUUUAUGGAUUUUAACUCAAAAGUUAAUUAAAGUGAGAAAGCAUAGAGAGGAAGUUGUGAACAAGAAAUUAAAACAAAUCUAUACAAAUACGGUUUAUCUAAACUUGUACAAAGUGUUUUUAAACCCAUGCUGGAUUAGUCCGUCCGACAAGAAAUUUGCUGACACAACCACAUAACUUUUUUGAAUUGAACCUAUAAUAAGUUCAAAUAAAAAAAAAUAUUUGGUUUUCAAUAAGGUAUAGUUAAAUUAAAAUUUUAAUUUCUUUCUUUAAUUUAUAUAAAUUAUCAUCAGUUUCGCUAAAAAGUAUAAUGAGUUUAAUUUCAACUAUAAUAAUAAUGAUUUUAUAAUAUUUAGAAAGAGAUAGAGUUUUUUUUUUUCCGAUUUCUAGUUAAUUAUUACAAACAAGUUUUUAAUGUCUUGACUAUUGUCUAAAUAAAGACUUGGGGAAAACUGGAAGGUUUUUGAAUUUCGGAGAGCCAAAAGAUUUAAACAGAAGGAAGAAGAGUAAUAAUUUUCAAACAUUAAUUUUAAGUUUUUUUUAAGGAAUCAAGUGAAUCAACUCUCUGCUCUUUCUCUCAAUAUAAUAUAAGAGAUGAAAACGGGGCGCUUGAAUGCUGACAAUAUUAUCUCGAUUAUCCUAAAAAAAAAAAAAAGUCAUUGCUAUUAUUUGACAAAAGAAAAAUGAAAAAAUAUAUAUAAAAAAAGAGAGAAAAAGUCAAUGCUGGUGAGGUUGACGUAUAAUUAUUACAUUGAGCUUCGUUAAAAAAAAAACUCUAUAGUGUAAUUUUUUUUCCUUUUCCACAUAUCUUUAUGAGUCACUUACUAUUCCAAGUUUAUUUAAUGUAAAAAUCUCAAUAAAUUAUUGAGCUUUAUUUGCACUAGUGUUACCUAUAAAAUAAAUUUUUCGAUCUCUAAGUUAGUUUUUGAAUUUAAUUGUUUUAGCAAGUCAAUAAUUGAGCCAAAAAGAUGAUUUUUCAUGUCUAGUGGAGAGAUGAGUCACUACUAGUAAAUCUACGAAUACAAAUGGAAUCACUGAUGAAUUUUUUUCUUCAGUAUUUUGGGGUGAUGUUUACCGACUAAAUUUUUCCUAUCGCUAACUCCGUCGGUAUUUACCAACAGAAAUAUAUCGUCGGUAUAUAUUAAGGGAAUCCAAGUUGAAAUAGAAGAAAUUAAAAAAAAUCAAACAGUAUUGUUGCUACCUAAUUUUUGACCCAUGUUUUUGAUAAAUUUUCAGAAAAAAAAUAGCAAAAAAAAUAAAAUUGAAAACCCCAAAAAAAAUGCAUUUUGAUAUAUUUGCAUCAUUUUUAGCUUUUUCAACGUAAUCUAAGAAGAAUUUAAAUUUUCAAAGGUAUUUUGAACGUGUUCAACUUUUAGCGCAUUAAUUUUACAAUCACUGAUUUUUCUUGUUGAGUCGACGUUGAUAUUGCUCGCUUUAAAAAAUACAAAAAAAUAAGAAAAAUCAAAAUUUACAAAAAAACAAAAGAAAAGUAAAAGAAAAAGAAAAGUUGAGGGAGCAGUUUGGAAACCUACCAACAUUUUAGCUAUAAAUACAGUGAAAAAUGUCAACAUCAAGGGGAAAAAAUUACUCACGAGGGCAGAAAAUUUACAAGGGGCAAGAUAAGAAAAAAAAGAGAAAAACCCUAAAAAAGGAACCCUAAACUAGGGGUGAGCAAAAAAACCGAUAAACCAAUUAAACCGAGAAAACCGGAAAAAAAAAUUGAAAAAACCGAACCGAAAAAAAAAACCGAAUUAACCGAUUAAAAAAUCACAAAAAAAUCCGGUUCGGUUCGGUUUCGGUUUCUAAAGUCUGAAACCGAUUGAACCGAACCGGUUCAACCAGCCAACACUUAAAAAAAAAGUAAGUAUAAAUACAACACUUUUUAACCCUAAAAUCACUUUUAGCCAUCAGCCGCCCCUUCCCUCCCUUUACCCCCCCUUCCCCUUCUCUGCAUAUCCCUCCCUCCUUUUAGCCCCCUCAUCCCCUUCUCUGCAUACCCCCCUUCUCUACAUAUCCCUCCCUCCCUUUAGCCCCCCCUUCCCCUUCUCUGCAUAUCCCUCUCCUUUGCUUUGAUUUUUCUCCCCUCCCUUUACUCUUUGUAAACCUAAAGUUACAGGUUUUAUGGGGUGCAUGCAUGAUGUGGGUAAGUGCCAAGUUGUGGAUUUUUUUUCCUUUCAUUCCCCCCUUUUUUUUUCCCUGUUAUCUUUUGCUGGCUUGUGUGGCUGUUGGUUUGGACAAUUUGUUUAUACAAGUUUCAGCAAACAAACAUGACAUCUUUUCUUUAUUAUGCGUAGCAGAAGCUUUGGAUUUGGAGGCUCUUGUUUUAAUUGUGGGCGGUCGGGGCACAGAACAUCAAAAUGCCCAAACAAGAAAGAUUUUUAGUUGCCUUCUUCGACGUAGGGAUUAGGGAUUGUUUUUGGACUGUGAACAAGUUGGAAUAAUUUCGGUUUGAACUGGUUUGGAAGGGCAAAAACCGAACCGAACCAAACCAAAAUUAAUCGGUUUGAACCGGUUUUCGGUUCGGUUCGGUUCAAAAAAUUAAAAAAUAAAUAAAUCGGUUUGGUUGUUUAUUUUGGUUCAAAACUGGACCGACCGGAAAUGCUCAGCCCAACCCUAAACUUCUCCUUUUGACAGAGAAGCCGCCGCCACCCUCUGGCGAUCUGACUUUUCUCUCUUGGCCGCCUCCCUGUAACCUUUUCCAAAGAGAACCGGAGCCGCUCACUUGCCUCUGGCAAAAAAACACUGAGCCGCUGCUCCCCGUUCCUCUCAUUUUUUAACUUUCAGCAUAACCCCUCCCCUGAUUUCCCUUUCCUUUAAAAAAACCAGAGAGACCUUUCCCUCUCUCGGUUGUCUCUCCCUACUGGCCGCUCACAUUUUGGCCCCUGACCAUCUUCCCCUCUUUCCCUGUUGAGGUCGGUCGGCCCCCUUCCCUUUUGAAAAACCAUAAAACCAAGCCACAGCUGUCGUUCCCCCUUUCCUCAGAUCUGAUUCCCAGCCUUUUUUCCCUCUCAGUUGCAGGAACAAAGGACGAACCGGGCAGAAACCCAGCUCUCUCCUCUCUCAGCCAGCCACUACACACUCCUUUCAUCCUCACCCGGCAGAACCAGAGAAAGAACCUCCAGCCACUGCUUCCCCGUCUCCACCGACCCUUUCACUGUCAGCCACAUCAGCGCUGUCCUCACCGGAGACCAGCCCCACAAACACCGCCGCCCACUGACACAGGGGACCAGCCCUCAACUAUUUCCUUCUGAACCAGCUACCAGCUCGCCAAAUGCCGGCAGAAUCUACCACUAGCAAAACCAUCAGCAACCGGCUCUCCUCCGACUCAAACCCGUGUAGCAGACUGUUACGGGGAAGAUAGUAAGAGAACCGAACUGGAUGAUAUCCAGUGGUGGCUAUAGAGGAGGUAGAGAUUAUAGGGCUGUAAUUAAUUGAGAGGCCGUUGAUACCACACCAACAACACACUGAUAGUAUUUACCUAAAAUAAAGGAAUUCAUGCUUUUAUUAUAAUUCUUGUUAUCCUUCUGUUAACAUGCACGUAGCUUUAUAUAGAAUAACUACCUUCUAAAUGGUUCUGAGAACCUUCAGCACGCAGGUUGUGUGCUUAACUGCCAUGCAGUAUUUUAUGGAAUAAAACGGUACGUAUGAGUUACUAAAUGAAACGGUGCAUAUGGGUUAUAUAACGACUACUAUAUUUUUGAAUUCAUGAUAAGAGUUUGUUCUUCCUCCUAUUCCAAUUCGUCUUCAGCUGGUAACAAUUGGCCCUCCUUAAAACCAACCUUGUCCUCAAGGUUGAAUAAUGGAAAUCGCAGCUUAAAUUCCUCUAGGUCUUCCCAGGUGGCAUCAGCAAGAGCUAGUCCCUCCCAGAGUAUCAACACUUGAGUUUUCGCUUGAUUCUGACAUUGAACCAUACGUCUGUCUAAAACGUUUUAUGGUUGUAGGACAGCUGUUUGAGGUAUCAUAGGAGGAGUACCCUGCACUGUGUGAUUACCCUUAUGUUUUUUGAGCUGAGAGACGUGGAACACUGGAUGAAUAUCACUUCUUUUCCUGUUAGCCACCAUAGUCAUCAUAUUCUGGGCUGCUAGGAGAUGCUCCCGGACUCUCUUUAUGAUUUCUUCUUUAGCUGAUAAAUACUCAUCGACUGAUUCCACAACAGAAUCCUUAGGAAGGUAGGGAAUGUGCAGGGGUGGAGGAACCCCAUAUAACACUUGAUAAGGGGUCAUCUUGGUAGCUGAGUGGUAGUUAGUAUUGUACCACCAUUCAACUAAGGGUAACCACUUUGCCCACUGAUUUGGGCAUUCACCCGUCAUGCAUCGUAAGUACUGUUCAAUGCAUUUGUUAACAAUUUCUGUUUGGGCAUCCGUUUGUGGGUGGUAGGCUGAGGAGUAGUUGAGGUUGACGCCUUGGCUGGUGAAUAACUCUUUCCAAAACCUGCUCAAGAAAACAGGAUCCCUAUCACUGGUUAUAGAAGUUGGUAACUCGUGUAGCUUAUAGACAUUGUUCAUGAAUAUUUUGGCCACCUCUGAGGCAAAAUAAGGAUGACUGAGGGCCAUGCAGUGGGCGUAUUUGCUGAAAUGAUUCACAACAACCAAUAUCACAUCCUUCCCUUCGGAUUUUGGGAGUCCUUCGACAAAAUCCAUGUUGAUGUCGAUGAAAGGAGCUGAAGGAAUGGGUAACGGUUGUAGGAGUCCAAGGCUUACCAUGUUCUCAUGUUUGUUCCUCUGACAAACAUUGCAUUCCUUGAUGAAUUGCCUAAUGUGCUUCUGCUGACCCUUCCAAUAAAAUAAUCCUCCAAUGGUUUUAGCAGUUACUGUCAUGCCUGAAUGCCCCCCCACAGCUGAAUUAUGGAACAUAAAUAUGAGCUUGUCUUGCAGUUCAGGAUCCUUCCCUACUACCACCUUCCCUCUCCUGUUAAGGUGAUCAUUCACCCAAGUGUAGUGGGGAUGGGUGUUGGUAGACUCUUGUAAGUGCUUGAUGAUCUCUUGGAGUGCUACAUCGCCUUCGUAGGACUUCCUGAUUUUUGCCAGGAGGCCUGUUGAAAUGGUAGAAGUGGUCAGGGCAUACACUUCUUUGUUGGGAAUCCUGGAAAGAGCAUCUGCUGGGACGUUUUCUCUUCCUUGUUUGUAUUCUAUAUCAUAGUUGUACCCUAGUAAUUUCACCAACCAUAAAUGUUGUGCUGGAGUGGUCAACUUUUACUGUAGGAGGUACUUUAAGCUGAUGUGAUCUGUUCUGAUAAUAAAAUGGCAUCCCCAAAGAUAGUGCUUCCAUUUAGUAAUUGCCUGAAGAAUAGCCAGCAUUUCCCUCUCGUUUAGGUCCCAACGAUUUGCUAAGGAACACAAUGGGGUGUCCUUAUUGCAUAAGAACUGCUCCCACGCCAAUAAUGGAUGCAUCAGUCUCUACUAUGAAUGUUUUGUUGAAGUCUGGCAGGGCUAAUACAGGGGCACUGGUCAUAACCUUUUUCAACUGAUUGAAUGCUUCGGUAGCAGCCUCGUUCCAUCCAGUUGCCUCCUUUUUGAGCAGCUGAGUUAGUGGUUUGCAAAUAUUGCCAUAACCUUUAACGAACCUUCUGUAGUAGCCCGUCAAUCCCAAAAAUCCCCGUAUUUAUUUCAAUGUUAUGGGCAUUGGCCAGUUGAUAAUGGCCAGUAUUUUGUAGGGGUCUGUCACCACUCCUUGCUCAGAAAUUAUGUGUCCUAAAUACUCCACCUGGUUUCGGCCGAAGAAGCAUUUGCUAGCUUUUGCUACCAGAUGAUGUUCCCUGAGUAUGUUGAGAACGGUAGCCAGAUGCUCAUAAUGUUCUGUAAGUGUAUGGCUGUAAACCAAGAUGUCGUCAAAGAAUACUAGGAUGAAUUUCCUCAGAUGCUCCCUAAAAAUCUCAUUCAUUAUACUCUGGAAAGUGGCAGGGGCAUUGGUUAGCCCAAACAACAUAACCAAGAACUCGUAGUGGCCACUGUGAGUUCUGAAGGCAGUUUUAAAUUCUUCCCCUCUUGCCAUGCGAAUCUGAUGGUAGCCUGAACGUAAGUCGAUCUUGGAGAAUAUAUAAGCUCCUACUAAUUCUUCCAAAAGUUCCUCAAUCAUGGGAAUAUGAUACUUAUCCUUGAGGGUAAGUUUAUUCAAUGCUUUGUAAUCUACACAUAGACACCAUGUAGAGUCCUUUUUCUUGACAAGAAUAUUGGUGAAGCAAACGGGCUGUUGCUGGUUCUUAUGAUUUUUUCCCUCAGCAUCUCUUUCACCAUUUCCUCCAAUGUGUCCUUUUGAAAGCUAGAGUAUCUGUAAGGUCGUAGAUUAACCGAAUUCCCUCCUUCCUUUAGAGGAAUCCUGUGAUCAUGGGAUCUGAGAGGGGGCAGCCCUUUGGGUUCCUGAAACAAGUCAAUAUAUCCUGCCAAAAGGUUCUGCAGAUGGUUGGCUUGAUUACCUAUUGAAGGAAUAGAGAAAGUAGUGGUCUCAGGAAUGGUUCCUGCCUCCACCUCUUCUAUCAUCUGUAAGUUACAUAAAUGGUACCUGACACGACCAAAAGAUUGAUGUCUUCUCCCAAGUGCAGGAGUGUCGAAGUAAUAAAUAACCCGGCAAGACCGGGGUCGAACCACAGAGAGGUUAAUUGUAUAAAUUAUAAAUAACAAUGCAACAACAAUAAUAACUCAGUACGUGGCAUUGUUAUACCUGAGAAUGAUCUAAAAGAUCAGGUCACAGGUUUCCAGCCUAUAUACUGAUUUUAUGAAAAGAUCAAAGAGAUAUAUUAUAUAAUAUAAACAGAUUUCUGAUGCGAAUGAACAAGGCAAGACCAACAAUGUCAGGAUCCUUGAUCAAACACAGAGCAUACUUAACGUACAUAACAUAUAACAGGAAUGUAAAUAAUAAUAAUAAUAAUAAUAAUAAUAAUAUUAAUAGUAGUAGUAGUAGUAGUAAUAGUAGUAAUAAUAAUAAUAAAAAGAAGAAGAGGAAGAAAUUAAUGAGAACUUUGAGAUGGAAGAUUAAUGUAAGGAUUAAACAAUGAUAAAAACAAAUGUCAAGGUUAGAGGAUUCACUUAUGGUAUUUCAAAUAAAUAUAAUAUAAACUCUUUUUAUUACUCAACUAGAAACCACACACAAAGGAGGUUCUAAUCGGAUGAUUUAUCAUUAAUGGCUCAUUAUAAAGUAUUAACAUGAUCAUAUUAAUUAUCUUGUCUAAGUAACACCAUACUUAUAAAUAUCAUCAGGCAUUCAUGUUGCUAGCUUAUGUUAACAACAAAUCAAGUUCCUAUCAUAACAACGAUGUCGGCCGAAAACUAUGAAGGAUCAAGCAUUUGAUGUACCAAGUGUUAUACAACAUAAAUCUAGAUUAACCAUUUAACAAGCAAGGUAUUAAGGAUUAGUAAGAUAAAAAGAUAAGACAUGCUAAUAACAAUUUUUCUUGGAUAUAAACAUUAAAGUCCAUGUUGAGUUUAUAUUAUACCUAUUCUAACACCAUUAGUAAAACCUUUUCACCUUGACAUAAUUAACUUAGCUAAACAUAAUGAAGAAGAAAAACAUAAAUAAACAACAUAAGAACAUAAACAUGAUAUAAGUUAACUAAUUAUAGGAAAGGAAAUGAAAAAGCAUAAACAAGAGAUUAAUAUAACAUGAAAGAAAACUUGAACAUUACAAAGAUAUAAAGAAAGCAAGCAAGAACAUGAUCUUGAUCUGAAAAAUAAUAUGACUAAAUACAUGGCAAAUGCCUCCUUUUAUAGGCUAAGAUUCAGAACUAUUGAUUGGUAGGCUACCAUUGAUUUGGUGGCUGGUUUUUGACAUUGUUGGCUGCUAGUUCUUGAUAUUGUUGGCAGAUUUUUGAUAUUGUUGGCUGCUGGUUCUUGAUAUUGUUGGCUGAUUUUUGAUAUUGUUGGCUGGCCAAAACGUCAUUGCUAACAUCAGAAUUUGAGCCCUUUGUUCCAUGAAAGCUGUGGGCAAUUGUCUCAGCUUUCCAACAAAAAAAACCAGAGCUCAUUUGGACUUCUAGAACUCAAGAUAUGAGCUGAAAACCGAACAGUGUUUGAGUUGCAGGACAGGUUCCGACGUCUCCGUUGUUGCUAAGAUUUGAACUUGAAAACGGCAGAAUUGAGUCUUGGACCCUUCAUGAAUGUUUUAGGUCUAUGUCGUAUCUUUCCAUCCAUAUAAAGUGGACCUAAAUCCGAGUUCUACAACUCCAGUUAUGAUCAAAUAACCGAAUGGUGUUCCAGUUUGGAAUUGAACCAGCAUCUCUUCUCUUAGCCUAGUCCUCUUUUUGUCUCUUCACUUUCAAUUGUUAAUCACAGCAAUCAAUCCUUUGAAUUGUGAGAUAUAUCUGCAUUCAAAACAAGCAUUUACCAUAAAUUAAAGAUAUAUUAUAUUAUUAGACUUGUUAUUAUAAAACAUGCUUUAGUUAGGGAAUUUAACGAUACUUUAGUGCAAUACGAUGAUAUAAAGCCUUAAUGAGAAUGCACUUUUAAGUACUAAUCAGUACCCCUCCAACUGGCCGUGACUCCCUGCUAGAGAAUUAAGAUGCUCCAAUUCAAUAUAUUGUAGUUUUGGUGGGUUUUCACCUUUUAGCAAAACCCUUUUCCCUUGCCAGUCGAAUGACAUCCACAAAUGUUUGUAGUUGCACAAUAUGUCACCCAGUAGUGAUAGCCAUUGUAUACCUAUCACCAUCUCACAAUUACUUAGGUCUAUGAUGAAUACAUCAGCCACAAAGCUUAUCCCUUGCAUCAUCCACCUUAGGCCCUUGCAUAUAGAUUUGCAGACCAUUCUUUCACCAUUAGCUGCUUGCGCUGAAGUUUGAGUGCCAACUCAGCGUUAAGGAAGUUGUGAAUACUUCCUGAGUCUAUCAGAAUACUCACAGUGGUUUUGUCCAAUCUACUGGUAACCUUCAUUGUGUUGAGCCCUACAGUACCUUCCAAUGCGUCCAGGGAGAUGUGGGGUGAGAGCUCUCUCGCCUGGAGGUCAUCUCCAGUUGGCUCUUUUGUAGUGACUUCAUCCUCUUCUUCAGUUAUACUUAAGGAAUACAACCUUUUACUUCUACAUCUAUGGCCAGGAAUGAACUUAUCAUCACACCAAAAACAUAACCCCUUAAGCCUCUUUUCCUCGAAUUCUUGGUUUUUUAGAGAUUUGGUUGGUUUAGUGGAGUUCCUGUAAGUGGAGGUGGAAGGAUUAUUGUGCCAGGGAGCUGGAUUUGGUUUGAUGGGGGUAUUAUGCAUGGUCGUUGGAUUCUGCGUGGAGUUUGGGGUUGUGGGAAGGUGUGGUUGGGUGGUCAUAAUAGGUGGAGAGUAACGUUUUGGGGAACUGGAAAAUUUCUUGUAGGAGAGAGUGUUGGCUUGUAACCUGGCUAAAUUAUAAGCAUGUUUAAGAGUCUUGGGUUCAAACAUUUUUACCGUGUUUUUGAUCUCCAACUCCAAUCCUCUCAGGAAUAUGACUAGCGAUUGUUUUUCAUUGAUUUCUACCUUGUUCCACAAAAUAUCAAAAUCUCGGAUAUAUUCUUCCAGAUUCCCUCGUUGUUUAAGUCCAUUAAUUCCUCUAAGGGGUCCUGUUGCCCUCCAAAUCGACAGCUGAUAGCCUCUACAUACUCCUCCCAAGUGGCUCUUUGGUUUUCUGCACUUCUCAAGAAGUUCUGGUGCCAGUACAGUGCAACGCCCUCUAAGUAAUAGGAAGCGAUUCUCAACUUGUCAGUGUUGGCAAUUUCUUCGAUCUCGAAAUACUGAGCACAUUUGUAUAGCCAGCGAUGUACAUCUUCACCAUUGAAGGUGGGAAAGAAAUGUUUUGGUUUGUGUAUCUUGUAUGAAGGUAUUCUCUCUUCUUGAGAGCUCCUGUGCCUGGAUUCAUAUCCUUGCAUGCCCGAUACCUGCUUGUCUCUGCCCUGACUAGAGCUACCCGUGAUGGGAGAGAGUUUAUGUAGAGCCAGUUCUAGCUGUUGUGCCAUAGUGCCCAUAAUGCUCUGUAUGUCUGUGAUCUGAGCACCUUGGUUAGCAAUGGUCUGGUAUAGUUUGACAUUUUAUCCCUUAAGUAAGUCAACCAUCAGCUCAUACUUAAGGUUGUGAUCCUGCGAUACUGCUGCAAUGGAGUCUUCAAUACGUUUGAGGUCAGCUGCUCUGGUGUCUGGUGGCAUGGUGGUAGUCCGUGGAUUGCAGGCUCUGAUAGCAGACUGUUAUGGGAAAGAUAGUAAGAGAACCAAACUGGAUGAUAUCCAGUGGUGGCUAUGGAGGAGGUAGAGAUUAUAGGGCUGUAAUUAAUUGAGAGGUCGUUGAUACCACACCAACAACACACUGAUAGUAUUUACCUGAAAUAAAGGAAUUCAUGCUUUCAUUAUAAUUCGUGUUAUCCUUCUGUUAACAUGCACGCAACUUUAUAUAGAAUAACUACCUUCUAAAUGGUUCUGAGAACCUUCAGCAUGCAGGUUGUGUGCUUAACUGCCAUGCAGUAUUUUAUGGAAUGAAACGGUGAGUAUGGGUUACUAAAUGAAACGGUGCAGAUAGGUUAUAUAACAACUACUAUAUUUUUUAAUUCGUGAUAGGAGUUUGUUCUUCCUCUUAUUCCAAUUCGUCUUCAGCUGGUAACACAGACUUGGAUCGAGGUCCAGCUGCCAUCUGCACCGAUGAUGCCCAACAACCAGAUCUGCUAUAGGGGAUGAACUCUCGGGAACAAACCGCGACAGACCCGAAGGAACCAGAUCUGAGAAGGAAAAAAUAAAAAGAAAACGGAUUGUUUGUGGCGUUUUCUUGGCUUUGCAGGUGACGUUGUUUCCCACCGCCGGCAAGGAAAGGAAGAGGGGAGGAGGCUGUUACAGACACCCUGUUUCCCAGUUUGUUUUCGCGGCGGCGCGUGAACCCACGCGCCGCCAAGUGGUGGUGGCGCGUGAAGGAGACGCGCAACCACUGUUCAAAUGCCCAGAAACCUUCCGGCCACUGUUCCUGCAGUUGCAUAAGGCCUUCCUUGCAAUUCUUGUAGAUUUUUAGGGUUUAUUUUGUAAUUUUGUAAUUUUUUAUUUUUUUUGAAUUUUUGUUAUUUUUUUAACAUGUAAAAGAUGGUGUAUGAGAAAAUCAUAAUAAAAAGAGAUGUGUUUGUGUGUUUGUAUUUUUAUUUAUGUUAUUGAAUUAUCAAAAUAAAAAAGACAAAAAGAAUUAAGUGUUUAAUUUGAAUAUGAUUAAAUAUCCCAGGGAUAAAUAAAAUCAUGUUGUACUUUCCAUGAAAAUGUAAGAACAUGUUUUUACAUAUAUUCUGGAAUUUAAUAAAUGAUUUAUUAAAAUCUUAGAAUUUGAUUAAUAUUUUAAAUUUUUAAAUCACAUCAAACCGCAAAGCAGCUUACCUCAGGUAGGGUGCGCUAGGGUGCUAAUACCUUUCCUAGCACAACUAGUCCCUUACCCUCAAAUCUAUGACAAAGACCAGUAUAUCCAGGUUUCCUAGUAGCCUCAACCAAAUACUAGGUGGCGAUUCUCAAGAUCCCAAAUCAAGCAAACAUAACGAAAAAACGCCAGCCGACGCCGCGCGAGUGACGUGCGACAGAAUGGCGACUCCACUAGGGACAAGUAUUGUUUUCAACAUUAUUGGACUAAGCUUUGUGUUUUUAUGUGUUAAAUUUUUUUUUUGUGUUUUGUUUUGUUUUAUUCAUGCAUUGUAUAAAAUUCUCUCAUGCAUCACAUGUUUUAAUUUUUGAAAGCACACACAAGCUUCAGGUUACGUGGGGGACUAGUAGCUUACCUUACGACUUUUAGUCAAGGUUUAAGUUUAUGUAAACCCCAACUCUUCGUUGAGUGCUUAGAUUGUUAGUGAUUGAUAUACGUGCCAUCUCACUAUCUGUUGAGCCCUCAUAUUGCCUUCACGAGGGUGAUCACUGGGACAACGAGAGACCCUUCUUAGAGACCAAGUAGUAAACCUACCCUUUGUCUCACGUAAAAAGAUUAGAACCUGCCUUUAGGAUGUAUGCUCCGUACACAUUGUUUUGCAUCUGAGCAAGCCCUUCUUGAAGCAUCUUGAAUUCAGGACUUACGGGGAUAUUGUUGUAACCCAUUUUUGGGUCCCCACAAAUAAAAAAAUAAAUAAUAAUAAUUAAAAAAAAAGGAAACAAUGUGAGAGACACUGUUCCUCUCUCUCUCUCCCCGCAUGCUGCUGCAAAAACCCAGAACCCCAUGACUAGAAAACAGCGCAGGCGUGCCCUGCACAGCCACGCCCAUUGGAGACCUCACCCGGUGUCCCCUGCCCCCCAUGCGCGACAGCAGGCCGCUCCCCUGCUCCCCACGCGCAACAGCAGAGAUUGGCCCUAUAAAUACUGCUCUCAACACUAGUAGAAAGGGGGGGAGUUUGAACGAAAGAGAAGGAGGGAGGAAACAAAAGAAAGGGGCAGUUUUUUUUUUUUUGAAGUAGUGACAGGGGAAAGAAAGAAAGAAGAGAGAACAAGGGCGGGAAUUUCUGAACAAGAGGAGAACAUAGAGAAUAGGAAGAGAGGAAAGGAAAUAGAGAAAGGAGGGAAGAUGACGGGGAAGCUCUGAAACAGAGGGAGGAAAAUACAAACACACCCAUACUGCCAACACCAUUGUCAUUAUUCCCCAGCUCACCAUCUUCUCCCCACACGUUGCAGCACCAUUGAAGAAAAGGCAGCAACCUGCACCUCUGCAAGGAGAAGAAGAAGAACCGUGCCUCACCCCCUGGAACCACUGCCAUUCCGCCACCAUCAGCACUGCCAACAACAGCAGAACCACCACUUAGAAGAAGAACCAGAGAAGAAGGUGACAGAAACCAGAGGAAGAAGCUAAAGAGAAUAACGAACAGCUGACAGAAGGAAACACCAGAGACAGGAGAAAAAGCCAAAAACUGAAGAGAGGGAGCCGCUGCAGAGAGGAAAGAACAGUUGUUGUCACCAGGCUUCCUCUCCACCGCCACCAGCACGGGCAGCGCUGCCAAACAACAGCAGAACCACCGUGAAAGGGAAGAGCACCGUGAGAAACAGAGGAGAACAGAGUAGAAGAAGAAAAGAGAAGCAGAGGAGAACAGAGUAGAAAAAAAACACAAAGAAAAAAAGGAAGAAAGGCCGACCACCAUCCCAGCCAUCCUCCGAUCAGCAACCGCCAGCAGCACCGCCUUCAGAGCCACCACAGGUCAGCCCUCUGCACCUUAUCUCUUUUUACUGUUCAUCUUCUUGCAUGCAGAACGUGCACUGUGCACGUUCUGCAAGCAAGAAAAUAAUUACCUGGUUACUGUGCAGGUGCACAGUAACCGGUCCAUGUUUGUUUCGGGCUGGAACAUCAGCCCAGCCCAUGCAGCUGGGCUGAGUCCAGCCCUGUAGAAAGUAGGCCCGUUUUAUUUCGGGCCGAUUUCGGCCCAGUCUCCUUUUGGGCCGAGUCCGGUCUAGUAAAAAAAAUUUAAAUUCCAGAAAAACCUUUCAGAAAAUCUGUGAUUUUCCGCAAUUUCGGUACUACAUUUUGAUCAAUAUCGGUUUGUAUUUUUAUACUGUAAAGAUACAAAUCCGGCAUUAAAAUACCCGGUUUUCAUCAAGUCAUCAAAAAAUAAAAAAUAAAAAUAAAAAUGUUUUGUUUUCAUGCAUACGGCCUAGUCUCUCCAAUAUAUAUAUAUAAAUAUUAUAACAUCAUAUUUUCACACAACAAAGGAAAUUUCAAAACAAUAUAUGUACUAGCAUGCAUUUUGGCUUUAAUAACCAGUUUAUUCAAGCCAUGAGAACUAGGCAAAUAUUUCAAAAAUUCCAAAAAAAUUAUUUUGUUUUCUUUUAAUAUCUGGGGUUACGAUCUUAUAUGUAAGGCGUAUUCUGGAUAUUAAAUUCUUUUGUUAAUGUCAGAAUUACCCAAUAAGAUAAGGAUCUUCUUACCGAGGAGGACUUUUCUGGAACCAUACCAACAACUAGGAAACACAACGAGACCUCGGAUUUGAGACCUCGGAUUUUAUCAGACAAAUAAACAAUGCAGCUUACCUUAGGUAGGGCAUAUUUGGGGUGCUAAUACCUUCCCUUUACGCAACCAGUCCCCGUGCACGAUCUCUGAGACCAGUUAGGGUUCCUAGUGACCAAAAUACUAGGUGGCGACUCCCAUUCCAUUUUCCACCAACAAAAGACAAUAUUUUCUUGUCUCUCCAUAUUUGCCAGAAAGAUAAAGAUAGAUAUAUACAUUUUAUAUUUGAAGUGGAAUAUUCACCGCGACGCCGCACACGUGCGACAGAAUGGCGACUCUACUGGGGACCUUGUGGACUUAACUUUGUUUUUGUCUGAUUUGUUUGUGUUUUCAUGUGUUUAUUGUUAAUAUGCCUUUCAUGUUGUUAUCUACUUAUAUGCUUUAAAUAUUUUACACCUACUGUUCAUGCAUUGUAUAGAACUGUCUCAAGCAUCACAUACUUUGAUUUUUGAGAAGCACACACAAGCCUUAAGUUAGGUGGGGUAUUAGCGAUUUGCCCUAUGACUAUUGGUCAGGGUUCAGAUGCGUGAAACACCCAACUCAUAUCUGAGUGCUUGCUUGGUAAUGGUGGGCAUACGUGCCUUAACUGUUCCUUGCAACGCCCCCAUACUGUCUUUAUGAAGAACGUCACUGGGCAGAUAUGAGACCCCUUCAAGACCAGAUAGAAAACCUACCCGUUCUCACUUAAUAAAUAGAGCUUGUCCUUAGGAUGUGUAUCCUACUUUUAUUUGCAUCAAGAUUAAUAAUGUUAAACUCAUCAAUACAGGUUUUUGAGCUGAAAUCAUCUUUCUUUGUAAAUGUGUUUUAGUAAGCUGCUAUGAUAAGUACUUGGCAAACCCUUCUUUACAGUAAUCAGAUCGACUCAGAAAUCUUGCUAAAGGAUUACAAAAGUCAUGAAUUAGCUCUAAAAAUAUACACAUCACAUAUGCAUCAUGUUUUCAUCACGCAUUUUGUUUUUAAUUUAUCAUAUGCAUUCCAGAUCGUGAAACAUAGGUCCCACAUCUAAAGUCCACCACACCCGAUCCAGAUCAAGGAUGGAGAACGAAGAAAGAGCUAACUUAGAGUCACACUAUCAGACCGAGUUAGAAUCCGUAAAAAAUGAAGUUGCUCGGCUGACCGACCUACUCGAGCAACUUCUAAGAGCUAAGAAUGGGGAAGGAACAUCAGCACAACUACCUGAAGGAGCGCCAGCAGCUCACAUCCCUCAAGCAUCUCAAAACCAGGGGGCAAACUCGGCCAAUGAACAACAUUUGGUGCCUAUCACCCCUAUCCAACCAACACAUGCUCCAAUCAAUGUGGAAUUAACAGCGGAGGGAACCCCGGAUAAUAGAUCUCCCAGUUUGAUGGACCAAGACAAACUGUUUGCUUUAGAAGAAAGAUUAAGGGUUAUUGAGGGUAAUGACUGGUUUGACCCUAUGCGAGUAGCCGAAGUAUGUCUGGUACCAAACAUUGUGGUGCCAAAGGAUUUUAGGAUACCGGAUUUCAUUAAGUACACCGGUUUGGAAUGCCCAAACACUCACCUUCGAUCCUAUUGUAACGAAAUGGCGGAAGUAAUCCGCGAUGAUAAAUUGCUAAUCUAUUUCUUUCAAGAUAGCCUUGCGGGAUCCGCUUUAAGCUGGUACAUGAGGUUAGACAGUGUCAGGAUCAGGAGCUGGAGAGAUUUGGUGGAGGCUUUCCUUAAGCAGUACAAGUUUAACCUGGAAAUCACUCCAGAUCGAACAAGUCUAAUGUCAAUGGAGAAAAGGAGCCAAGAGUCAGUAAGGGCCUAUGCUCAAAGAUGGAGGGAUGAGGCAACACAUGUCCAGCCCCCUUUAAUAGAAACAGAGGUGGUGACCUUAUUUGCCAACACCUUUAAGGCACCUUAUUAUGAGCACCUAAUGGGUAGCUCAUCUCAGCAUUUCUACGAUGCGGUUCGCAUAACUGGAAGGAUAUAGAGCAAGGGAUUAAAGCUGGACGCAUAUCUGAGCCGUUAGAGAAGAAGGGUUUUAUUGGAAGGAAGAGGGAAGGCGACAUUAACAAUUUGGAAGGUGGAUAUAAGGGCAAAAGAGUGGAUUCCCAUAACCCACAAACACCUACCUCUCAAUUUUCCUACAUGAACUUUAGCCAAACUUUUUCCCCUGAUCGAACAAAUAACCAGUCAAACAACCAAAACAACCACCAAAGACCAAAUACAAGAUACACUUCAGAACAACUACCGCCAUUACCCAUGCAUUUAAAGGACAUGUAUGCCAAACUGCUUAGCAUUGGACACAUAGCCCCUAUCCCCACACCACCACUGCAACCACCAUUCCCAAUCUGGUACAAGCCCGAGUUGACUUGCGAGUACCAUGCUGGUAAUCCCGGGCAUGGGAUUGAAACCUGCUAUGCUUUAAAGAGGAAGUUGUUGGAGCUUAUUAAGAUAGGAUGGGUAUCAUUCGAAGACAAACCCAAUGUUAAUUCAAAUCCAUUGACUAGUCAUACCGCAAGUAAUAGUGGAUAAAGGAUUGGAAAACCUCGGUCAAGAAUUGUCAAUGAUGAAGAAGGUGAGAUCGAAGGAGAUGACAAGAAAACACAGAUGGGGAAGGAAGAUGAAACACUGCCACAACUGACUGUCCAGACACUAGAAAAAGUCUUCGCCAAGACCUUUGGGCGCAAGUUGGCUCAGGGUGAGAAGUUUCAGAACGGGGUGACCCAAAAAGCUCUAGUAGUUUUUCAAAAUGUAAACCAACUUUGUUUGCCUUAGCAUGCUUUUGUCAUUGCUUUUGGGUUUGCUUUUAUUUUCUCUAGUUGACAAUCAAGGCUCAUGAUGUCAGCUAGAUUUUGUGUUUGUCUUUGAGCCCAUCUUUUCUUUAAAUAAAUGACGAGAUCAUGCACUUUUUAAACAAAGUUGAGUGAUUACAAGGAAUGUAUCAUAAAACGGUCAAAGAUGAAAUUUAAGAAAACAAACCAAAGUUAACCCUGAAGUACAACCCUACCUUUGGAUAGCAUAAUGAAUUGAUAAAUCACCUGUAAAUUUCUUUCAAGAUAAAAACAGAGUUUAUCAAUCCUAACAAUGUACAUUUUGAAAUGAGAAAAAUUCAUUAUCCCUUCACUCUCUAAAGAGUUUAUUGUUGGUGGUCCUGUUUGAGCCGGAAUGAAUUGCUUCUUUAUAAAAACCCGGACUAGGAUCACACCCCACACUAGGGGGCAAUAAAAGAUAUUUCAUGAAAAGUUUUACAUGAUUUUAAAACGGGAUGAGAGCCCGUAGAUUUGAAAAAGAUAAGUUAAAGCAUUUGACAAAAGCAUGACAAAGAAGGCAAUGACAAGUCAUACAUUUUGAAAAAGCUACUUGUAAAAAGUCGAAGACUUCUCAAAGAUAUGAUAGGUAAAAAGAGGCAGCACGAGAAAUGAAUCCAGCAUACGACUUCAAAAGCAAGCUCAUGUCAAGAGAGAGUUUCAUGAAAUAGAAGAAGAUGAUGGGACCUAUGUUUCAAAACCAGGUAAGAAUGCAUGCAUGUCAUCUAAUCAUAAAUCAUUGCAUACAUGUUUUUGAAUCAUUACAGGAGAAAUUCUUAAUGUAAUCCAACAAGAUUGUGGACGAAGAAAGAAUCAUUAAGUUGAUGAUAGCAAAGAAUCACGGUUUUGAUUCUGGAACAACAAUAAAGUGAGAAGAACCUAUUAGGAAAUUUUUAAAACGAAAGGUUCAAACCCUGCCAUCAGGAAGAACGACAUCGAUAUCAGCUUUGGUUAAAGGGAAUCGCCAGAUGGGAUUCCAGGUUGAUCGAGCUACAUGAAUAGAUUUUUUGGUUUUGGUUAAAGGAGGUCACCAGAAAAGAUCUCAGGUUAACCCAACCGCAACACCGAUUUCAGCUUUGAUUAAAGGAGGUCACCAGAAGGGAUCUCAUGUUUCAGCUUUGGUCAAAACUUGCAAAAUUACUGUACGUAUGCAUGUCAUUACGAGAUUCUCGUUCAUUUACUGUUUAUUGAUGUACAUUACAUACAAGGUUUAUCAAAUGGGAAGGAGUGCGCCUAAGUCAUUGUCUUCACUAAGCCGGGGGCCUGAAAGAAAAUGUAAGUGCUACCACGGGUAUUUUGUCAAUGGAUAUGUUUUCCAUACUGAAGAAUAUGGGCAAGGAAGAAAGACAUACAACAACGGUGUUUGUGUUAAGGGAUCCACUAGUAGUGAGUUAGAAGUUGACUACUAUGGUAGAUUAGAAGAGGUCGUCGAACUGCAAUAUCAUAACGAGCAGAAUAGAGUGUUUUUAUUCAAAUGUUAUUGGUAUGACACGACUAACAGAGGAAUCAGAGUUGAUCCGCACUAUGGUCUGGUCGAAAUCAACUCAAAAGCUAGACUCUGCAACAUAAACGAUGUCUUUGUUUUCGCAAAGCAAUGUCAACAAGUUUAUUACACAUACACCCCUUCAUUUAGAAAGGAUCGAUCAAGAGUGGAUUGGUUGUCCGUUUUAAAAACAAAACCCCGGGGUCGUGUCGAGGUUGUUCAGGAUGAGAACGAAGACACAAGUGUGCGAGAUGAAGUCUUUCCUGUUAGUGAGUUGGUUGAACCAUAUUGAGUUGCUCUUUCGAUUGAAUUGGAAGAAAAUUCAAAUUUUCGUGUUUUCGAUGAUAGUCUUGUUCAUGUUGACGCAGAGGAGUUGAAUGUUGUUUUGAGCUCUAGCAUACAAGCAAAUGUCGAUGAAGAAGAUGAUAUCCAUAUUGAAGAUUGCGAUGAAGGUGAUGACAAUUCAAAUGAUGACGAAGAAGAAGAAAAUUCUGACUAACAAUCAAAAUGAAGCCUUGUAUAAAACUAUUUUUUUCAUGUAAUUUAGAUCAUGGAUGAUAUAUUUUGUAACACGAAAUAUUUAUUACUUGAAAUGCCACAAUCACAAAAUAAUUACGAAAUAAUUACUUGAAAUAAUUAUAGAUCAUGGAUGAUAUAUUUUGUAACAGGAAAUAAUUACUUGAAAUGCCACAAUCACGAAAUAAUUACUUGACAUAAUUAUAGAUCAUGGAUGAUAUAUUUUGUAAAACAAAAUAAUUACUUGAAAUGCCACAAUCACCGACGUCCAUACCGACGGAUUAAGUUCGUCGGCAUUUCACAGAGAGUUCGAAAACAAUUACUUGAAAUGCCACAAUCACCGACGUCUAUACCGACGGAUUAAGUCCGUCAGUAUUUCACAGAGAGUUCGAAAACAAUUACUUAAAAUGCCACCAUCACCGACGUCCAUACCGACGGAUUAAGUUCGUCGGCAUUUCACCGAGAGUUCGAAAAUAAUUACUUGAAAUGCCACAAUCACCGACGUCCAUACCGACGGAGUAAGUCCGUCGGUAAGUUAUUAGGGGGUCAAUUUUACCGACAAAAUUACCGACGGACUGCGCGAAUUCCAAAGGGUUGUGCAUUAAAUGCAUCUCUGACCGCGUCAUCUUGACGACGGAAUUACCAACGGACCACGAAAAAUAUGGAGGGUCAUUAAAAAUUUUGGUGCGAAAUUCAAAAAUUACUGACGGAUUUUUGACACUUCACCGACGGGAUAAAUUAAAAUAAUAAUUAAUUUUAUAUCUGUCGGUGAAUCUGUCGGUAAAACUGCCAUAUAAGUUCCAACGACCGCCCCUUCAGUUCAUUUUUUUCUUCUCCUCAGUUUUUCACCUUAAAUUUCGAUUCUUUUCCUCUCCAUUCUUCAAAGCUUUCACCUACAAUCUCUAGCAAGUUUUCUUGUGAAUCUUCAUCAGUUUAAAAGGUAUGUGUUUCUUCUAUUUUAUUUUACUUUAAGGGUUUUUUUUUGCUUUUUUUUUGUUAUGGUUUUUGUUAUGGUGUAUUUUUUGUAAUGUAGAUAAAAUAUUGAAUUCAACACAUUAUUAAAGCAAGCAUAUUUCAUUCCUAAAGUCUAUAGUUUUUUUUUGAAUUUAUUGAAUAUGUUUUAUUGUUGUAUUGACAUAAUUAUUAUUAGUUAAUUUGUUGAAUAUUUAUUGUUAAUGUUGAAUUUACCUUAGAAUUAGUAAUUGAAUAUGUUGGAAUAAUUGUUAAUUUUACUCUAUUAUUGCAUGAUUUGUGUUUAUUUUUUUUCAUUUAUUUUGAUUGUUAGUCUAGAGUUUUUUUUGAAUUUAUUGUUUUGUUGUAUUGGCAUAAUUAUUGAAUAAUUUUUUAAAUUGUAAUUGUUAAUGUUCAAUUUACCUUAGUAUUAGUAAUUGAAUAUUUUGGAAUAAUUGUUAAUUUUACUCUAUUAUUGCAUGAUUUAUGUUUAAUUUUUUCCAUUAAUUUUAAUUGUUAGUCUAGAGUUUUUUUUUAUUUAUUGAAUAUAUUUUAUUGUUGUAUUGGCAUAAUUAUUGAAUAAUUUGUUGAAUUGUAAUUCUUACUGUUGGAUUUACCUUAGGAUUAGUAAUUGAAUAUGUUGGAAUAAUUAGUAUAGAUUGGGUCAAUUGGUUGUGGCUAUUGUUAAUAUGUGCAGGUUUGUGGAUAUGGGUAGUAUCCAGUAUAGGGGAGGUGCUGUCGAAAAUUUUUUUAACAUUUGAAUUUAAUUAUAUAAUUAUUCGUAUAAAAUUGUGUAGAUGCGUAGAAUAAAAACCAGAGCUAGUCGCUCAUGUAUGGUCACAGCUAGUUCGUCUAGCAGCGAGGAUGAUAUUUCCUUAGGUGCCUCUCAAGAAGAGGCACCUACACCACCUGCGUCGUCAACCGAUGCCGCCUCUUCCAGCGCUCCUUCACAGCGCAGAGGCGGCGUGCCUUCACAGCGCAGAGGCGGCGUGCCUUCGCAGCGGAAUCAAUAAUAAAUCUUUUUUCAUUAUAGGCUACGUCUCUUGGACGUGAGCCGAGCCCGAUGGAGCUGUUUGUGGAGAUGCACGUGCGGAGUCAAGACCGCCAAAAGAGGGCGCAACAAUUCAUUGAUAACCGUGCUCAACAUUUCGUGGUAUGUCUGUUCAACCAUUUUAUUUUGUAAGUUAUUAUGUUUAUUGAAUUGAAUAUGAUGAUUACUUUUUUUAUUUUCAGGAGACCUAUAAUAAUUGGUUGAGGGAGAGAUACGGGGAUGAUAUUUUGACCCAUCUGGAAUUCGAUCCGGAUUUGUGGAUGGAGGUUGGAUUGUCAGGUGGACCCGAUAAAAAUCGAGUUUACAGGCUCUCCAACACUAUGGCCGACAACUUGCAAACGACCCGUAUUUCAAUGCAAUUAGCAAUUCUCAUAAAAGAUGUUUUUUAGAAGUUUUUAUGAUGAUACCCCUUUGGGCUUUGGUUCACUAUGGACCCCUAUGUGCACUUCGUGCACUUCUUGCCCCCAGUGUGGUGUACAAAAAUAUGUCAAGUUUAGAUUUGAUUUAGUUCUCUCCAAUUGAUGGAGUCAUCUCCUUAGUCAUGCGUUAAAAAAAAAACAGUUCUUUUAAGUAAAAGAUUUCAAAUGCUAUGAGAUCAUACGUUUUAUGAAAAAAAGGGUUCUUUACAAAGAGAAUUCAUGGCCGGACUUUCUUUAAUUGACGGGGAAGCAUAGUAUUUCUUUAUAGAGUCAGCAUUUAUAAGUUUAACUAGAUCUUCUCUAUCCAUUCUAGAUAACAAUAAAGCUCCUCCUGAGAGCUUUCUUUACCACCAAAAAGCCCUCAUUGUUUGACGCCUAUUUACUCUGAUCUUCUCCUGGUAAAAGGCAAUAUUUUCUUCAGUAUAAGAUCUCCUUCGUGGAAUCCUCGAGGUCGAACCUUCUUUGAUGACAGAUUGCGGCUAUCCUCUUUCCACUGAUCAGAUUCAACUAUUCAUCUCUAACUUUUACUCACUCUACCUCUUCUAGCUCGGAGUCUAUCAAUACUCUUAAUGAGGGGAUUUCAACUUCUAAAGGCAUCACCGCCUCCAUUCCAUACACCAAUAUAUACGGGGUGGCUCCUAUUGAGGUUCGGAUUGCGGUGUGGUACGCGUGAAGGGCGAAUGACAACAUCCCAUGCCAAUCCUUGUAGGUGACUAUCAUCUUCUAAACAAUCUUCUUGACAUUUUCGUUAACAGCUUCUACAACAUCAUUUAUCUUUGGCCUAUAUAGCAAGGAAUUGGAAUGCUUGAUUUUCCAUUUAGCGCAAAGUUCUAUUAUCAUCUUGUUAUUGAAGUUCUAGGCAUUAUUAAUCUUUUCUAGUGGACCAUAUCGACAGAUCAAAUCUCUUUCCAUAAAUUUCUUCACCACUUUUUACCUCCAUGUCAUCCAAACAUCUCAACAAAGUUCCGUCAUGUGUGUUGUUACUCAAUUUUGGACCCCACGUGCUGGAGACGGUGUAUACCUCUUUUGAACAAUGUAGGAGUUUAGCUCAUAUUCGCCAGAAGAUUGACAAAAGCACAGAAAGAAAUAUUUUGUUUUUUUAACCUUGUUUGAGCUGUUUUUUGCUUUUUUUUUAUCCUUCCCCUUUACCACCAAAAUCAUCAGGUUUUUUUUUAGGUUGAUCAGGAGUCUUCAUAAUGCUAAAUUCAUUAUUUUUUAUCUGGUCUUUAAGGUUGAAUAAAUCCCUCAGAAUUUGCACUAAAAAAUAGUUCUGCUGCUGUCGCAAUUUUUUGUUUCAACUUAGGCUCUGAUUCUGACUCAGUUUCGUACGAUAUCUGACCAUCCUAGGUAUAUUCUGUCACUCAUUACCUGUUGAAAAAUUGACGUAUACCUUUAUUAGGUCCUAGGGAUCAUUGUUCUUAGAGCAGAUUCUCAGUCAGAUUUGGAUGCUCAGUAUUGUCAGAUCAAGAACCUUUUUAACCAACUAGAUUACUACCAGUUUCUGUUAUGUAAAACGAUUUUAUCUCACUUCGACUUCUUCAUCAAAGUUUUAGUCCUAGACGCGUAGAUGAAUUUGGGCUUUUGAAUCACUUGAUUUUGAUAUCAGAAGCUCAAGAUAUUCCCAUUUGAAUAUCUAACGUGAGGGCAGAAAAUUCUGCCGUGGGAAGGAUAUAGCCCAAGUUCGCGGGACUGAUUUGAAGGAUUUCUUUUGGACCAAGGACUGAAUCGAAAAGUGUUAAAAUGAGGGAUUUGAAUUGAAGAAUGAUAUUGAAAAGCUGGAGAGGGGGGCUGGAUCAUCAUAAAUGACUGGAUUUUUUCCACGCCGAAUAAGGAAAAUGAGACUGUGCAGCUGCACCCUCCAUCUGAUUUCUUUCCUUUUUUCGCUGCAAAUUCCUGCUGUUUUUCCUUUAUCAUCAUGCCUGAUUUUUGGAGCUGCAACCACGUUUUUUCUUGCCUCAUUUCAAAGGGAGCAGCUGGCCCUAUGGAAGGAAAGAAAAGAACCACACCCUCCUCUAAAACUGGAAAGAAAUCAGACGUAAAGCACCAACACAAAAUCAGAAUAUUGCAGUUUCCUUUUGCAUUUUUUUACUGCAAAUCAGUAGGGAUUUGCGUCCUAGGAUUAAUGCAUUGAAUCCUUCCUAAAUAGAGACAUAUUUAGACUAUAUAUAAGCCCUUCUAAUGACCUAACGGGGGAGGAGAAAGAGAGCAGAAAAAUAGGAAAAAGAGAGCAGAAAAAUAAGAAAAGAGAGGAGAGAAUAGAGAACGGGAGAGAGACAGCAAAAGAAAAACAAGAAAGACGCCUUUGCUCCAUUUGUUUUCUGCAAAUAAAAACUGCAGAAACAGGAAAAGAAAGUUAGGAAUCAGUAGAGAAAGUGACGGAGGCGCAGAGUAAAGAAGGAGGCAAUAGGCAGACCCAAACACAGAACAUAAGAAGAAGGACAGACGCAGACCCAACAACCAUCACUCUUCCAACGCCACUGCAGUUUCUUCGUCUCCGGGUUGGUUUUCUAUUCACCUGUUGCAUGCUUUCUUUUGCUUUGUAUUUGCACUUUAGUGUGGUCUUUUUCUUUGUAAUGUAUGUGUCUGUACUGUUCAAGUGAAUUAAUUCACUUGAACAGUAGCUCUCCAUUCACAAAAGAGAGUUGCACCCCUUUUGUGUCCAGCCGGGUCACUUGCUUGGGCAAGUGACCCGGCCAGAACCCCCCCCUUUUUUUUUUCUUCAAAAAAAUAAAAGAAAGAGAAAGUGAUUUAUGAUUUUUUUGGUAUAUUUAUUUUAAGGUCUGAAUUUUUUUUGUUGUAAAAAAUAUUAGUCUUGUGUUUAGAAUACCCGUUUUUUUGUUUUUUUACGCAAUAUGACAAAUAUACAUAUAUAUCAAAUUUGUUUUCUUGUGUGUUGCAUACGGCCAAUACCCUAACAUAUUUUGAAUGUUUUUUUAUAUACAAAAAAUAUUGGAACUUUUAAAAUGUGUUUUCGCAUGGAUUUCUUAAACACAACAAAAAAAUUGUUUUCUUGCAUUUCUGGAUUUUACAACAUGUUUGUAAAACUCAAAAGGGUAUUGGCCACUAUUCCAAAAAAUAUAAAAAUCUUAUUUUGGGGAGAAUUCAUCUAUUAUUCACCGCUAAUGUUUGGAUAAAGAAAUCCUUAAAGGACGAAUAUCCAAAAUAUUAUUGGGAAUAAUUUGUUAUUAUUCACUGUUAAUAUUUGGAUAAAGAAACCUGGAGUGGUAAAUAUCCAAAAUAAUUUUCUAGGAAUAAUAAAUCCGCACACAUCCUUGAAAGAAGCCUUGAUUAUAAUCGAGGACAUUUCAAUUUUUUACUCCACGGUUUACGAGCCGUGAGAGUAUAAAACACUAAGGUAAAAAUAGGCUUUUAAAGUGCCCUAGAUUUUUAAAUUUUUGUCCCUCCUCCUUGCGAUUUACAAGUCGCAAACUCUUGAAAUACCAAGGGAAAAAUGAGCUUUUAAAGCACAUGGAAUCUCCUUGGAUUUCUAUCUUAAUAAAUUUAGUUAGAAUCAAACUUAGAAAAACUGAUGGAAUUAGAAAACACCAACACCAUAGCAAUUUUAAGACAAACCAAACACCAAGCAGCUUACCUUAGGUAGGGCGUACUAGGGGUGCUAAUACCUUCCCUUUGUCGCACGUCUAAAAAAUCCGCGCGGCGUCGGCUGGCGAUUUUUUUGUUAAGUUGAUUUAAUUUGUUCGUUGGAGUCGCCACCUAGUAUUUAACUGAAGGCUACUAGGAAACCCGGGUACUGGUCUUAUCAGAGAUUUGCGGGUAAGGGACUGGUUGUGGUUAGGGAAGGUAUUAGCACCCCUAACGCACCCUACCUGAGGUAAGCUGCUUCGUGGACUUGAUGUGUUAAAGAAGUUUUAAAAAUUCUGUUCUUUCAUCGAAUUUUAGAAAUACGACUUACAUGUAAGUUCAUAAUUCUUUAUCCGUGAAGAAAUCAAAAUAUUAAAUUCUUCUUUAUUCUUGCAAUUUUAUCAUAGAAAAAAAAACAUUCAUUAAUAAAAUUCAAAUCACACAUUCACUUUCACUAUACUUUUUCUUUUUUGUUUUCUUUUCCAUCUUUUUUGUACAUUCACAUUACAAAUUAAAAAAAUUCAACACUAAACAAAAAUUACAUUACAUAGUUUAAAAAUUACAAAAUGGUCCCUAAAACUCCAGAAAUUGCAGGGAAGGACUUCUGCAAGCCGGGACAGUGCCGCUGGAACAGUGGCGGCGCGUGGGUUCACGCGCCGCCGCCGGAAACUCCAAAAUACAGGGGGUCAGUCACGGUUUCCCCUCUUCUUCCCCUCACCGGCAGUGAGGAUCAAUGUUACCUGCAAAUAAAACAAAAAAAAACACACAAGGCAGUAGGUUUUAAUUUCUUUCCCCUUGUUUCGGAUCUGUCUCUCUUCUUCUCCGUUUGGGCAGAUCUGUUAGUUCCUUUUUCUUUCCUCCUAAUUUCCUCUGUUUCAGGUGGCUGCCGGCUUCUUCUCCUGGUGAUGGCAGCAGCGGGAGGCCGCUGGAAGGAAGCAGCUGGGAUGGAGAGGGACGGCGCUGCUGCUGGUGUGGAGGCUGUCUGAUGGUUGCUACCGCUGGAGACUGUUCGGCCGGGCUUGGAUUGCUGGCGGUGGCUUCGGCAACACUGGAGCUGACGGGGGCGCUGAGGUGUUUCUGUCGUCUCCGUGGGACUGAGAGAAGACGGCGGGGCUGCCGCUGAGUUCGGCUUGAGGAAGAAAACGGAGAGGAGACCUGGCUCGGUCUGUGAUGGAGGCCGAAACUACCGGCGAUAGGGGAGAGUAAAGGGGCUGGUCUUCGGAUGUGGUGGUCGGCUGCUGUGGGAAGGAGAUGGGUCGAUGGAGGCAGGUUCAGGAGCUGCGAAGAGCAGAGGGAGCAGCUGAGAGGGAGGAUCUGUGGAAGGGGGAGCUGAUUCGUGGCUGUUGUUGGUCUAUGGCCGGGAGAGGGAAGGUCUGAAAAAUGGGGGAAGAUGAGAGGCGGUCUGCUGAGAGGAAAGGAGAAGAGGCAAUGUUGAGGGGGAGAUGGCCGGCUGUCAAGAGGGAGACGAGGACGAUGGAGCUGGAACUGCGGGGGGAAAUGUGGGGGUCUGAUAAGGCCGGGGGGGCGGCGGCUGCUGCCAAAAAAAUGGAGAAGAAAGUGAUGGUGUUAGGGUUUAUUUUUGGUUUAGGUUUUUUUGUAUUUUUCUGAUGUUGUCAAAAUUGCCCCCCCCUUUUGUUUGAGUUGUGGACCAGUAUUUAUAGGUAAAAUGUUGCAUGGAUCUCAAAAUUGGUCCCUCAACUUUCUUUUUUUGUAAAUUUAAUUUUUCUUAAUUUUUCUGUAUUUUUUUGAAAACGAGUAAUAUCAACGUCGACUCAAUGAAGAAAAUCAAUGAUUUUAAAAAUGAUGCGUUAAAAGUUGAACGCGUUCCAAAUAUCUUUGAAAAUUUAAAUUCUUUUGAGACGAUGCUAAAAAUGAUAAAAAAAACGAUGCAAAUGUAUUAAAAAUGUAUUUUUUGGAUUUUCAAUGUUUUUCGCUAUUUUUGAAUUUUUUCAUGAAAAUUUAUCAAACAUGGGUCAAAAAUUGGGUAGCAACACCCUUUACGCAACUAGUCCCUUGCCUUAGAAUCUCUGAAAGACCAGUUAGGGUUCCUAGUGACCAAAUACUAGGUGGCGACUCCCUUAUUCACAAAUAAACAAAAAGACCCCGAAAUCAAUCGAUGGUCGCCGCGCUCCGCUCGCGAGGGUGCGACAAUGUGAUUUCUUAUUCAAAGUUUCCCCAUCAAGAUAGAAAUCCAUUGCCAACCUCCUCAAAGUCCUUUUGUUGAUUUUGGAUGCCCCCAUGGGAUAUGUCUGGUUUUGGAUGAAAUUCUUGAUAUCAUAGUACUAAGGGUUUCCAGCUAUUUCUCUUUCAACUAAGCAACAAUGAGCUGGGUUAUUUCUGAUAUUAAUGCGUACCGACUGUACCUUAUGCCCAAAGUCUAUUCUAGCCAUAGAAACUAACGUGACCAAAGCGUCAGCAAAAUGGUUUCCUUCCCUUCCUAGAUGGGUGAACUUUAUUUCCUUAAAUUCUCUAGCCAAUUUAAACAGGUAUUCUUGGUAAGGUCUCAACUUCUCGUCCUUGGUUUGACCUUUUCCUUUCACUUGGAAAAUAGUUGAGUCUCCAUACACAUCUAUCUUUCUAAUAUUCAGCUCAAAUGCCACCUCUAAAAUGAGAAUGCAAGCUUCAUACUCCCAAACUGCAACUUAACUAAAACUGAAUACUUCUUUUUAUUAAGAGAGAUUAUCAUUGCACCAGCUCUGUUACCACAUACGUUUACAUCACCAUCAAAGUACAUAGUCCACCAAUCUAAUUUCCUUUCCUCAACUGAAAGCACAUCUUCAUCAGGAAAGUCAAAUUUUAAUGACUCAUAAUCUUCCCUAGCAUGGUCGGCCAGGUGAUCGGUAAUAACAUUCCCUUUCACAACUUUCCUUGUUAUAUAUACUAUGUCAUACUCAGCUAGUAGAACUUGCCAUCUUGCAAUUUGGCUUGACAGGUAGGGCUUUCCACCGUUGUACCUUAAUGGGUAUAAUUUUGAAAUCAACCACGUAGCAUGAUAUAACAUAUAUUGACGCAAUCUCUUUGCAGCCCAUGCUAGUGCGCAACACAACUUCUCAAUCACUAUAUACCUAGACUAACAUUCCGUGAACUUCUUGCUUAGGUAAUAAAUGACCCUUUCCUUCCUUCCUGUUUCAUUGUGUUGUCCAAGCACACUUCUUUAACAAAUGCAAGAUUGGGUCACAAGUCGUGGUUAAUUUGGAAAUAAACCGAGCAAUGUAAUUCAAUCUUCCUAAAAACCUUCUUACAUCCUUCUCAGUCUUAGGAGUUGGCAUAGAUCGAAUAGCCAUCCACUUUUAUCCCUUUAUCACUCACCACGAAUCCCAACAACUUCCCAAGAUUUCAUCCCGAAUGAACACUUUGCGGGGUUAAGCCUCAGCUUAUAUUUCCUUAGUCUUUCAAGUAAUUUCUUCAAUAUUUGGACACGACUCUCUUCCUCUUUAGAUUUAGCAUCCAUAUCAUCCAUGUAUACCCCAAUCUCUUUGUACAUCAUGUCAUGAAAUAGAGUCACCAUGGCCCUUUGGUAAGUGACCCUAACAUUCUUCAGCCCAAAUGACAUGACCUUGUAGCAAAAGGUUCUCCAUGGUGUUACAAAGGUUGUUUUCUCCUUAUCCUAUCGUGCCAUUUUCAUCUGAUUGUAGCUUGAAAAUCCAUACAUAAAGGAAUAUAUGAAUCGACCAAUACAUCUAUGUGUGGUAGAGAAAAAUUAUCUUUAGAGCUAGCCCGGUUUAAGUCCCUAAAGUCCAAACCCUGAUUUUAUCUUCCUUUUUGGGAACAACAACUAUGUUGGACACCCAUUGUAGAUACUUGACUACUUUUAGAAAAUUAACGUUCCACUGCUUUUCAAUUUCUAUCUUUACCUUGAUCAAGACAUCCGAAUAAGUUCUUCCCAACUUUUGCUUAACCAGUUUGUAUCCUUGUACUAGUGGUACCCUAUACAAACCAGGCAUAUCCUUGUAGGACCAGGUAAAAACAUCUAUAUAAUAUCGAAGUAGUGCAAUCAACUCUUUUCUUUCUUUAUGGGUGAUCUAUGAAAAAUCUUUUUGGCUCAAUUAUUGACCUGCUAAAACAAUUAAAUUCAAAAACUAACUUAGAGAUCGAAAAAUUUAUUUUAUAGGUAACAGUAGUGCCGUAAUAAAGCUCAAUAACUUAUUGAGGUUUUUACAUUAAAUAAACUUGGAAUAGUUGAUCCGGGCAAAACGCCCAGGCCAGUGACUCAUAAAGAUAUGUGGAAAAAGGAAAAAAAUUACACUAUAGAGUUUUUUUUUUUAACAAAGCUCAAUGUAAUUGAAUUUAUUUUUUUUCCAGUUUUGUUUAGAUCUACUCUAUAGAGUAUUUUGCUUUUGAAGUAGUUUCUGUUUUGCAAACUCUUAUACGUCAACCUUACUAGCAUUGACUUUUUCUCUUUUUUUUUAUAUAUAUUUUUUCAUUUUUCUUUUGUCAAAUAAUAGCAAUGACUUCUUUUUUUUUAGGAUAAUCAAGAUAAUAUUGUCAGCAUUCAAGCGCCCCAUUUUCAUCUCUUAUAUUAUUAUAUUGAGAGAAAGAGCAGUUUUCCCCAAGUCUUUAUUUAGAUACUUGCCAUGUCAUUAAUAAUCGUAUGACUAACAUAUUGUCAAGACAUUAAAAACUUGUUUGUAAUAAUUAACAAGAACCGGAAAAAAAAAAUUAACCCUAUCUCUUUCUAAUUAUAAAAUCAUUAUUAGUAUAGUUGAAAUUAGACUCAUUAUACUUUUAGCGAAACUGAUAAUCUGUAUAAAAUUAAAAAAAAAUUAAAAUUUUAAUUUAACUAUACUUUAUUAAAAACCAAAUAUUUUUUUUUAAUUGAACUUAUUAUAGGUUCAAUUCAAAAAAAUUAUGUGGUCGUGUCAGCAAAUUUCCUGUCGGACGGACUAGUCCAGCAUGGGUUUAAAAACACUUUGUACAAGUUUAAAUAAACCGUAUUUGUAUAUAUUUAUUUUAAUUUCUUGUUCACAACUUCCUCUCUAUUCUUUCUCACUUUAAUUAACUUUUGAGUUAAAAUCCAUAAGCAAAUGAUAAAAUUCUUGAGUAUUCUUUUUUAAAAAGUGUUUUUCAUCGAAAAGCAACUUAAAACUGUAACUCAAACAAAAUUCUAUGCAGCUUUCUUAAGUUAUUAUGGUGCUGCUUUGACUCAGGCAAAAAAAUAGUAAAAAUCAACGGUUGUUGUCCAAUGAAUUUGCAGUUAUUUUUGUUCAACAAAAUGGCAUAUAUAUGUUGAUCAAAACCCUAAUUUGUUUUUAUAUAAAAGAUCAAAACCCUAAUUAACUCACGAAACAAGGAUCAAUCAAACUAUUGGAAACCAAAUAUUGAUCUUAUUAUUGAUUAUAAAAGUGAUAGCACACUAAACAAAAUAAUAGUCAUGAGACUCAAAUUUUACAACUGUAAACAAUUUGAGACCACACAAAUCACCAAAUUUUCAUGACAACUCCAACUCAUAUAUCUAAGUAUACAAUCACAACAAGGUCAAAGAGUACGGGCUUGUUGGUAAUAAAUAAAUUUAAAAGGCUUAUUCAAACUUCGCCACCAUCUGCUUUAAAAUAUUUUUUUGGUACCAAACCAAGAAUAGAAUAAUAUCAUAGCCUCUGUCUUAUAGGGAGCUUGGUAUCAUUUCUUGUUGUCCUUGGCUUCUUUCUGGGUCAUGCCUUGCCAAUUCCUCUAAUAGUAUUGCAAAUCUCUCCAUAACUGGUGCACGUAAGGAAACCAAAACCAUAACCCCACGCUCUCCGUUCUUGAAUCGAUACGGCAGGACAAAGGUUCCUGCAAUAGAAAUUUCAUCCGGCAUAGCCUUAGGUGGCCCAGAGUAAAUUGUGUUGCCCCAUCCAUAGUCCACCUGAUCGAACCCAAAACUUGUUAAGUCUGACACGACAUAUGAUUGUAACGCUAUAGGCUGCCCUUUGGUUAUCUCCAUCAGAUCAGCCAAUGAUCUCAUGUACUCCUCAGUUAUUCUAUUCUUGGCAUUUCUUAUCAUUUCCAAUGCAUACCCUAAAGAGUUUAAGCAAAGCUUCCUAGCAUUUGUUACAGCUGCUGGCAAAGCUAGCACGUUACCAUAAUAUCCUUUCGGUAAUGGAGGGUUAAAUUUGGAACGUGCGUUGACAAGCAUUUGCAUGCGCAUCUCCUCAUUAGGGUUAGCUUGAGAUGCUAUGGCAUAGCAUCUCCAUAAGCAUGCACUUAUUACCUCAAAAUCUGAACAUGGGUGUAAAUGAGAAGGAACCCAUCUACGAAUGUUGGAUAAUUCCUUGCGGUUAAGAACAAAACUACGGUGGGCUACAGCGUGAACCUCGCCGCGGAAUUCAGGCACCUUGGCUGUAGGAUCAACAGCAACAGGAGCAUCAUCACCAUAUUCAUUGUGUCUGCAUGUAACUCGUGGCGGAUUCCUAGCACAGAGGAGUUCCCUUUGCCACACAGGUAGAAUUGAAGGGGUUUGAGCACCUCGUGCCAUCUCACCUAUGGUAUUAAAUAACUGAAGCAUGCCGAGUCCAUCACUCAUUAGGUGAUUAAAACGGAGCCCAAGUACAAAACCACCACACUUCAAGCGUGUCACCUGUUAAUAUAAUGUAAAAUUAUUAGUACUUUAUGAGAAUGUAAUUGAUGGAAUAUUACCAUCAUUGUUUUAAUUAUAUUUUUGAAUUUUGUCGAUAAUAAUAAUAGUAAUAAUAAUAAUAAUAAUAAUAAUAAUAAUAAUGAAAGAAUGAAUAAACAUUAGCCAAUAAUGUCCUAUACGUACCUGAAAAAGCAAUAAUGGGGUAUUGAGGAUCUCUUCUGAUCCUGGGACGUUGUAAAGAAGUUCCUGAAAGCAUGGGAAUGGAGAUGGAAUUGGAUCACCAAACUGCUCGACCGUGGCAUCGGCAUCAGCUUCGAUGAACAAGACACCCUCACCAGUACAAUCAACUAUAAGCUUAUUGUCUGGCCCUUGUCUAAUCCUACCAGCAAAAGGGUAAUAAUACACAAGUGCCUGCGCAAUUGCCUCCUUUAUUACCUUCACAGGAUCUUUCCCUUGCAUCGAUGGAUUGUGUGCAUACAAGUUGUAACCUGGUGAUUGAAAUUGGAGGUAUAGUUGGCGAUCAAUAUCAGAAAGCUGUCUGAAUUCAUGAGGUGUGGCCUUAGCUGGUGCGACCAAUUCUGGUUCGCACCUUCGGACUGCGAACGAUAUCGAAGUUGGUGUUGCCAUCGCACAAAAAGUGUGUUUGCUGCAAACUGUGAUAAAUGGUGGCUCUACCUCAGCUCAAGAAUAUUUUUGCUUGAAAUGGAAUGCAUGGGAAGGCAAACUUGCUACAUAUUUAUAGUAAUAAUGACUGUGUGGACAUGCAGUAGGUGUGAAAGAUAGGAGCAGGAACAGUAGUACAUUAUUACGUUUAUAAAACUAUGACUUCAUCGACCAGUGCAGUGCUCGUUACCUACUACUAUUUUACUAUUUUAUUCGAUAAAAAUUAAAUGUAAAAUAAUAUAAUUUUAUAUAAAUUUUAAAUUUAAAACAUUUUUAUUUUUAAGAAAAGUAUUAAAAAAAUAUAUAAAUUAUAUCUCAUAUUUUAAUUUAAUAAUUUAAAUUUUUAAAUUGAGAUAAUUAUUUGAUAUUCACCGAUUUACUUGCUUAUAUUUAUCUUUAUUUGAUCUUGUUCAAAAAUAAUAUAAAUCAUAUAUUGUGACCUCACCUAAUCGUUAAAACUAUUGGGUUGAGAUGAUUCUUUGACAUGGUAUUAGAGCCUUGAUGACCAAGUGGUCACGAGUUCGAAUCUCACCAUCCUCAUUUAUUUGAUAAAAAUUAAGCAUAAGGUAAUGUGGGUCUAUAUAAGUUUCAAGUCCGAAGGGCUUUCACUUAAGGGAGUGUGUUAGAGAAUAACAUAAAUAAUAUCUUGAAAUCUCAUCUAAUAAUUUAAACUAUUGAGUUAAGAUGAUUAUUUGACAGAUUUUAAUUUAAUGAAUAUCUCUGUAACCAUGUUGGACAAAAUAACAUGGAGUUUUCUUCUUCUUUUUUCUUCUUUUGGGUUUCCUGAGGAGGUCUUAGAAGCAAUACAAAAUGGCCCCGUUGUUGCCCUCCCUGCACCAAAAUCUCUGUGAAUCCCUCUCAAGUUCUGCACAUAAGAUUAUAUGAAAUGAAAUCUUAAAAAUCUUAAAUACUAUAAUAUUGUUUCCCUCUCAAGUUCUGCAAUUUCGUUUGGCUCUCUAGCUAGUAGCUACUCAAUUAAUUUGUUUUUAUUAUUAUUUAUUUUUGCUACCAACUUCACCAGCAUUGACUUUUUGAGGAGCAUUAACAUUAAUACACUGACUUCUAGCUAGUGCUAUUCAUGCCCUCCUCUACGUCUCUUAUAAAUUUUAUUCACAUAAUUAAUUCAUUAAAAAAAUUAAAAUCAAAAGGGUAAUUGAGGAUAUGUUAAUUGUGUACAUAAAAAAAAUAGAAGGAACUUGGAGGACAAAGGCUGUGCGAUUGGUUUGGAUAUAGGCUUCCGCUAUCUUCUAGGCAGUGAAGCUGACGGCAAAAAAUCAAUGACUCACAAAAAGUCAUAGGUGACCAUAUCAUAAAUAUAUUGUAAUCAAAGUUGAGGAAACAAAUAUGUUUUGUCUAGAAAAAAAAAAAAACUUUGUUAUUGAUAAAAGAAAAAAACAAUAAAAAAAAUUGUUAACCAAAUUUUACCUGAAUUUUAUCUUGGUUAAUUUUCUAAGCUAUUCAAAUAUGAACGCAAUCUAAAAUAAAUUUCAAGUUCAAAGUUCAAAGAUUUUAAUAGCAAGUAUUUUUUUAUAAAUUUUAAAGUUGGUUUGAUGCUCAAAGAGAUUUUUAUUAUUAUUAUUAUUAUUUUAGUUUCAAAUUUGGAGACCAACUUAUAAAUAAAUUUAUUAAAUCUUUUUUAAUACAUCAAACUCAUAUAUGUCUACAUGAUAUUUUUUCUAUUGAAUUAACUCUUUUAUUUUUUAGAUUAUGUAAUUAAAGAAAUAAACAAAAGAAAAUAAACAUGUGGAAAUUAAUUUAAUUACUUUAAUUAAUUAGGUUUGUUUAGGCUAUUUUUUUAAAUUUUAUUUUAAUCAUUUAAUUUUCAUAUCAAAGGACAUAAUUUCUUUUUUUAAAAAAUAAAAGUUAUUGGAUUAGGCAUCGUCCAGCAUUCAAUUUAGUAUCUAAAAGAAAAAUUCCAUGUAAGCGCAUGAAAUCAUAGUAUUAUGAUGGAAGGACUAUUACAAAACAAAAGAAAGAGUAGAGGGACUCAAUCAAUUAUAAAAAAAAACAUAAGAGGCUCUAAUAAAAAAAAAGGAAUAAAAUCCAUCUUCUUACAAAAUAAAUCAUGAAAGUAAUUUAAUUUGUGAAUAGCAAUGAUUAGAUUUUUUUGUAUGGAUAAAAGUACUCUUAAGAUAUCUUUCACUUAUCAUAAUUAUUUUUUUUCAAAUCAAGUCAUCCAUGUCAAAACCGAUCAUGUUUUAUAGUUUACUUCAUGAAAUUCAAAUUUCCAAUAAUAACAUAACCGAUCAAUAUCAAGCAACAUGAUAGGGAAUAGUAAUUAAGAUCAUAUCGAAGAAUGUACUAAGCAAUCCAUAAAAUAUUGAAGAAUGUACUAAGCAAUCCAUAAAAUUACAAAGUGGUUAGGUGAAAGAUAAAUACAAGUUUUUGUUGCUCGUGCCCGCGCGACGUUCGAUAAUGAUUUUCGUUCGUUUGCUUGUUCUUUGAGAGUUACCACCUAGUAUUUUCGAUAAUGUUUUUUUGUUGUUUUAAAUUGAUCAAAUUGUGUUGGGCAACCUGCCCAAUGAUAAAAGAACGCGAAGAAUUUCGCGAGUGGUCUAAUUGUUCCAAGCGACCUGCCCGAUGAAGAAUAAACGCGAAAAGGGUUUCGCGAGUGGUCUAAUUAUUCCAGGCGACCUGCCCGAUGAUUGAAAAUACGAGGAUUUUUCAGGAUGGUCACAUUGUAAUGGGUUACCUGUCCAGUGGUCACAUUGUAAUGAGUUACCUGCCCAGUAAAAAAAUACAAGGAUUUUUCAGGAUGGUACAUUGUAAUGGGUUACCUGCCCAGAUGGUACAUUGUAAUGGGUUACCUGCCCAGUAGAAAAAUACGAGGAUUUUUCAGGAUGGUACAUUGUAAUGGGUUACCUGCCCAGAUGGUCACAUUGUAAUGGGUUACCUGCCUAGUAGAAAAAUACAAGGAUUUUUCAGGAUGGUACAUUGUAAUGGGUUACUUGCCCAGAUGGUCACAUUGUAAUGGGUUACCUGCCCAGUGGAAAAAUACGAGGAUUUUUCAGGAUGGUAUAUUGUAAUGGGUUACCUCCCCAGAUGGUCACAUUGUAAUGGGUUACCUACCCAGAUGGUCACAUUGUAAUGGGUUACCUGCCCAGUGGAAACAAUACGAGGAUUUUUCAAAAGAUGACAUAAUGGGGCUCGAAGGCGCACUAUUCAAGAGAUGGAAGCGGAAAUGAGGGCUUGGAGGCGCGCUCGAAAGGAAAUGAGGGCUCGAGGGCGCACUCAAAAGGAGGUAGGGUUAGGAAACGCACUACCUUGAAUGGUCGAGGGCUCGAAGGCGCACUCGAAAAUAAAUAAGGUAAGGGCUCGAAGACACAUUCAAAAGGAGGUAGGAUAGAAAAUGCACUACUUUGAUGGUCGAGGGCUCGAAAGCGCACUCGAAAAGAAAUGAGGUGAGGGCUCGAAGGCGCAUUCAAAAGGAGGUAGGAUAGAAAAUGCACUACCUUUGAUGGUCGAGGGCUCGAAGGCGCACUCGAAAGGAGGUAGGGUAGGAAACACACUACCUUUAAUGGUCGAGGGCUCGAAGGCGCAUUCCAAAGGAGGUAGGAUAGAAAAUGCACUACCUUUGAUGGUCGAGGGCUCGAAGGCGCACUCGAAAAGAAAUGAGGUGAGGGCUCGAAGGCGCACUCAAAAGGAGGUAGGAUAGAAAAUGCACUACUUUUGAUGGUCGAGAGUUCGAAGGCGCACUCGAAAAGAAAUAAAGCGAGGGCUCGAAGACGCACUCAAGUGGAGGUAGGAUAGGAAAUGCACUACCUUUGAUGGUCAAGGGCUCAAAGGCAUACUCGAAAAGAAAUGAGGUGAGGGCUCGAAUGCGCACUUGAAAGGAGGUAGGGUAGGGAACGCAGGGCUCGAAGACGCACUCGAAAGGAGGUAGGGUAGGGAACGCACUACCUUUGAUGGUCGAGGGCUCGAAGGCGCACUCGAAAGGAGGUAGGGUAGAAAACACAGUACCUUUAAUGGUCGAGGGCUCGAAGGCGCACUCGAAAAAAAAAUAAAAAUGAGGGGUCGAAGGCGCACUCAGAAGGAGGUGGGUAAGAAACGCACUACCUUGGGAAUGGAAAAUGAAAGGUGGUGGAAAAAUACAAAGAUUUUUCAAGUGGCCUAAUUCUCAUGGGUAGCCUGUCCAAGUUGAAAAAUUCUCAAAAGUGAAAAUUUUUCAAAAGCAAUUUCAAUGUUCGCCAUUUCAAGUUGGCCUUCCACUUGAUGAAUUCCGUUAGAAUUUUCUCUUAUGACAUUUGCAAAACUCAUUGUACAAUGUCUCAAAGUUUAAAUGAUAUGCAUGCAUCUUUACCUGAUUUGAAAUAUAGGCCCCCAUUUCUUCUUAAUCUUCUCGUUGCUUGGUUGGUGAGAUCUUGCUAUCUGAUUUGAGUCAUUUUUGUCGUUUGGCUUUCUAGCCCACUCGAGUUAGCCCAUAUAAGUCUUUUUCCAGAUUUGUUUGCACAACUCAGCCUUUGUGGUGCUCAUUGUGACCCACUUGCUUGCGAAAGAUUUUCUGACUUGUCAAAUAAUUUGAGAGGAUUAUUCAUUACCCUCCGUCUCAUUGCUAAAAACAUUCGGUGUCACUUGCUGAAAGGAUCAAGCUGUCUUUUGUAAAACAAAAAUGCCCCCUUGUCUUGUUGAAGGAAAUUACCAUCUCUUCUAAACACAAUGUUGCCCUCUUGUAUUGGUCAUUGCCCCCCAAGUGUGGUCUGUUAACGACUUAGACAAAUAAUAGUUUUAAAAGACCAAUCUCUCAUUUCUCUUCUUUUUCAGUUUGGUGAAGGAAUAUGGGUCUAGAAUGGAUCUUGAAAUCUUGAUCUUGCAUUUUAAAAACAAAAAAUUAUUUCAAUGUGAGUCUAAAACAAUUUGCUUUUGAAAUCUUGCAACUCCUUGGUUGUUUUCUUUCUUGGAAAAUAGAUUAUUUGCUUUUGUGUUUGGCAAUGAGGUCUUCGGUGAAAAUACAUCAUGAGAUGACCUUUUGUUUCAAAGUGAAGGGCUCGAGAAAAAGCUCGAGGUUUUGUAUGAGAAAAACUUGUCUCUUUUUUGAACUUUUAUUUUAUCAGCAUGAAUAAUAAUGAGUAGUUUAUUCUUGAUGUCAUGAAUCUUAUGAAAAAAAUAGUCUUUGCAUUUUGAGAGCAUUGUUUAUUGUUCUAGGUUGCUUGCUUGCUUGAUUAGAAAGGACUUCUACAGGCACGUAACGUAGGCUGUGGUUUUUGGCUAUGAAAGAAAAGGAUUUAUAAGGCUCAAAGAGUGUUUUAGGGUUUCAAAGACUGAAGAUCACUGUCAAUAGUUUGACUCUUGACGUCAUUCAUAUUUUCUUUUGCCGCUCUUACUUGAUUUGCCCCCUCUUUUUUUCUUUUUUCUUUUUCAUUGCUUUGCUAGAGCAUGCUUACUUUAUCUUGGUUAUCACUUUUUUCUUGUGAUUUGGGCAUGCCCCCUAGCAUUUGAGUUUCUUGGGCUCUUUUGCCUUUUGGCUUUCUCACGGCUUUAUCAUCUUUCUUGAUCAUUGAAAUUUCACUUGCCCCCAGUGUGGGGUGUGAUCCUAGUCGAGAUUUUUUUAUGAAAGAAAAAUUAUUCAGGCUCAAAAAGGGAUCGCAAGGGAUGUACUUAUUUCAUAAUGUGAAAGGAAUAACAAAGAUGGCCUUUCCUCAUUUCAAGCGCAAGCAACAAUGAUCAAUAAACUUUGACUUCAUCCAGUAUGACGGUUUGGUCUUUGCAAAGAUGCUUUUCAUGAGUCAUGAGCAACGAGUUCACUACAUAUCAUUAUUCAUACAUUUAAAAACACAUGAUUCAAGAGUCAUGGGGUAAGGGUGUUUAUUCAUUUCUUUUUCUCUUUUUUCACAAUUUUUUUUUUGGUUUAUAAUUUAGUCACCUCAAUGAUGGAGUUGCUUGAUUCACUUGUCAUUCUACAAGUAGAUUGUCAAAAAUAUCGUUUUUGAAUAAACAUCAAAUUAUUUUUUAAAUCAAAAUGCCAGAUCAAUUUUUUUUUCAAAACUCCAAUAGGGAAACUGAUUUUGGUAAAAGAGAUGAAUUAUGUCUAUGAGAUCGCGCAAGGCUUCAAAGAUGUGUUUGUGAGUUUUUAUAAGAAAACUCUCUCAGAAAAAUGAAUAAUGCUUGGUCGUAAACACGAUUGAAUGAUAAACUCAUUAUUUUCAUUGAAACUUUGGAAAAGAAGUUCAACAACAAAGAACUUAUGACAACAUCUUGGGCUAUGAAUACUGGCAUGAUAGCAUAUAAAGGGGCUAAACAUUUAACAAUCAUUGAUUGGAAUUUCUGGAAUCAUUCAUUCUCCUUGACAAGGGCAUCUCUUCAACAAUCAAUUGAAAUCAUAUGUAGAUCAUUCUCGACCUAAUAUCACCAUAGCUUUUCUUCAAGAUAGUUGAUUUCUGGGAGUCGGUGUGAAGCAAUUAGCUAUAAGAACGAUAAGUGCCUUGGCAAUCACCUUCAAUGAAACCAUUCUUCUCAGUCGGGUUAAUAAUCUUACCUAACCCAAUGGCCUGUUCAAUCCUCUCAGCUAUAACAACCAGGUCAGUGAAAUGUUGUGCAGAGCUUCUAACCAAGUAUUCAAAGUACGGAGCUUUAAAGGUGUUGGAAAAUAAACUAAUCAUCUCUUUUUCCAACAUAGGAGGGUUAACUUGUGCAGCUACCUCACUCCAUCUUCGGGCGUAUUCCCUUAUGGACUCCUUGUUGUCCUUCUCCAUAGCUUGCAAGCUUAACCGAUUAGGGCCCACGUCUAUAUUGAACUUAUAUUGCCUCAUAAAGGCAUCAACUAAAUCCUUCCAUUUUUUUACCUUGGUAUUGUCCAACCGCAUAUACCAAGUGAGGGAAACAUCACUCAAGCUGUCUUGAAAGAAAUGAAUCAGCAGUUUCUCAUCAUCAACCACCUCAGCUAUUUUGUUGCAGUAUGCUUUGAGAUGAGUUAUAGGGCAUUGAGUUCCCGUAUAUUUAACAAAUUCUGGCACUUUAAAAUUUUUGGGAAUGACAAUGUUAGGCACCAAACACAUCUCAACAGUCUUUGUAGGAUCAUAUAGGCGAAUUCCCUCAAAUGCCCUCAUCCUUUGCUCUAGAGCAAUGAAUUUGUUCAGAUCAUCUUCUUUUACCAUCUUUGCCUUUUUGAGAUUCCUUCUCGUUUGCCCCUAGAUUCUGUGGAGUGAAGGGAUUUACGAGCAUAGGUUCAGGCUGAGCUAUAUGUGUUGCUUUUUCGGAUUUGUCUCUCAAGGCCUGCUCGAGUAGACUAGUAAGCCUUGUGACUUCUUCCUUAAGAUUGUCCACCUCUUUUUGAUGUUGGGCUUCCAACUAGGCUCUUUCUUCGUUUUCCAUUUGUCUUUUUCCCGAACGAGUGUUAUAGAUGGGUUUCAAUGGGGAACCUAUAUUCCAACCUGUAAAUGUAAAUCAUGCAAUUUAUGCAAAAAUGUUGAUUCAAUUAAAAAUGCAUAUGAAAUGUGGACUCUCCCUUCACGUGAUGGCAACCUAAUAGAAAGAUCCUAAUUGUUGAGUGCAUCAAGGGGUUGGUCAUUAUCUAGUUUCAAAAGGGUCUCUCGCAUGCUCAGUGAUCGUCCUUGAAAGGUCGAUAUGAGGCUUACAAGUAGUGUGAAGAUAGAGGCCCUAAGUAAUAUCAGUUUGGCAUAUCAACCACUUUCAAGUAAACAAUCAAGCGAGAGUUGGAUGGUUUCACGAGUCUUACCCAGGCUAAAGCCAUUGGGGUACCGUUACUCCCCCACUUAUCCUAGAUUUUAAGGUAUGUGCUCUUAACGUGAUGCAUGACAAUAUAAACAAGGAUGCAUGCUAAAGCAGUAAAUGCAAGAAAAAUAAACAAAUAGACAAACAUAACAAACAUUAUAGCAAUUGACAAACAAAAGGCAAAGCUUAGUCCAUUAGUCCCUAGUGGAGUCGCCAUUCUGUCGCACCCGACAUCGCGGCGGCCUUAAAAAUAAAAGUAUAUCAUGGAAAGAAUGGAUUUCUGACAUCCUAUUCUUUGAUGGGAAACGGUCUUGUUUAAGGAGUCGCCACCUAGUAUUAUGGUCACUAGGAACCCUAACUGGUCAACAAAGAUUCUAUGGUACGGGACUGGUUACGUAAAAGAGAAGAUAUUAUCACCCCUUAAACGUUCUGCCUGAGGCAGACUGCAUUGCUGGUUUUGUCUUAAAUUGCUAAAUGUUUAUUAGUUUACGCUAUGAUAAUUUGCUUAUAAUAUUCCUGACUCUAGCGUCAGUGAAUAUUCAACUACGAAUAUUCCCAACUCUGGUGUUGGUAAAUAUUACGUAGCUAUAAAAUAAAUUAGAUCAAUAUUUUUUAUUCCCCACUCUAGCGCCAGUGAGUAAAUAAAUAAAAAUAAAUUUAUUUUUAAGCAUGCACAUAUUUUUUAUUUUUCUAGCUAAAUAAAAUAAAUAUAAAUUUAAACCAGUAUUUUUAUUCCUGACUCUGGCGUCAGUGAAUAAACCAAUAAAUUACAUUAUUUUUAUUCAUAUAUACAUAUUUUUAUUAUAAUUUGCUUAUAAUAUUCCUGACUCUGGCAUCAGUGAAUAUUCAACUACGAAUAUCCCCAACUCUGGCGUUGGUAAAUAUUACCUAGCUAUAAAAUAAAUUAGAUCAAUAUUUUUUAUUCCCCACUCUAGCUCCGGUGAGUAAAUAAAUAAAAAUAAAUUUAUUUUUAAGCAUGCAUAUAUUUUUUAUUUUUUUAGCUAAAUAAAAUAAAUAUAACGAAUAAAAAUAAUAUAAAUUUAAACUAGUAUUUUUAUUCCUGACUCUGGCGUUAGUGAAUAAACCAAUAAAUUUACAUUAUUUUUAUUCAUGCAUACACAUUUUUUAUUUUUUUAUUUUUUCUAAUAACGAAUAAAAAUAAUAUAAAUUUAAACCGGUAUUUUUAUUCCUGACUCUGACGUCAAUGCUUUUCGAGUCAAUGCUUCUGUUUUUCUUCUCUGGUUUUCGGGUCCUUAUUCUCUGGUUUUUUCCUCCCCCGGCCUCUGCUCUGUUUUUUUUUUUGUUUCAGUCCCCUGUGUUAUUCAUCUUCCACUCGUUCUCUGUUUCCAGUGUUCUUCCUCCUGCCCGUUCUCCCUGUUUCGUUACCUGCCUCUUCGUUUUUGUCUCCGGUUCUCGGCCCCUGGUUUUUUGUUUCGUUCUCCCUUGGGUUCUGUCUCUGGUUUUCUUAUGAUUUUUUUCCAGUUCCCGUCGCUGUGUUUUUUCUUUGUUCUUCCCCCCCUUUUUGCCUCUGUUCUGCUCUGCCUUUUAUAGAGCCAGAGAGCUUGCCCCUAAAACCAGUCCCUGUUACAGUCCUGCAUUUACAGGACUGUUAAUCAAUCCACGAGCGGGAUCGUGGGCAAAAUUAAGCAGGCCACUGUCCGAUUGGUUUUCUCUAUUGCGGUUUCGCGAAAUUGGAAGAUUCAUCAGCUUGAUAUUAAUAAUGCCUUCCUCAAUGGUGUUCUUACCGAAGAGGUCUACAUGAAACAACCUCCAGGUUUUAUUGACUCUUCUCUUCCAUCUCAUGUGUGCAGAUUGCACAAAUCAUUGUAUGGUUUGAAACAGACACCGAGAGCAUGAUACACUCGUCUAAGUGAUUUUUUGCUCUCCAUCGGUUUCCACGCUUCCAAGGUUGACACCUCCCUAUUUAUCUUAUCUGAUGGUACUAAUAUCUUUUAUCUCCUGGUGUAUGUUGAUGAUAUUCUACUUAUGGGUAGCAACUCUGCUAUGCUUCAUCACCUUAUACAGUUACUCAGCUCUGAGUUCAAGCUUCGUGACUUAGGUGUUGUUCACUACUUUCUGGGUAUUGAAGUUCAGUCUACCAGUAUGGGUUUAAUGCUGCGUCAACAUAAAUAUAUUCUUGACAUCCUCACCCGAGCUGGUAUGACUUCCUGCAAACUCGUUGAUACUUCAGUCUCCCCUUUGAAAGUCAUUUUAUUACCGUAUCACUCAUUCUCUGAUCCUACAUGAUUUCGUCAAAUCGUGGGUGCUCUUCAAUAUCUUACCUUCACUCGUCCAGAUAUAUGUUUUGUUGUUAACAGAGUCUGUCAGUUUAUGCAUGCUCCUACAGAUUCUCAUUGGGCCGCUGUUAAGCGUAUUCUAUGCUAUCUUAAAGGUACGACAUCUUAUGGUUUUCAUAUCACUCGAGGCUCCUCUUUUGCUCUACAUGGCGUUACAGAUGCAGAUUGGGCUGGUAGUAUUGAUGAUCGCAAGUCUACGGGUGGCUAUCUUGUCUUUUUUGGUCAAACACCGAUUUCUUGGAAAUUCGGCAAGCAACGCACGAUUGCUCGCUCCUCUACUGAGGAUGAGUAUAAAGCCCUUGCUGAUGGUACCGCUGAAGUCAUUUGGCUUCAAUACUUGUUAACAGAUUUGCAGGUUCCCUCAGUCUCUACUCCUACCAUUGCUCCUACCAUUUGGUGUGAUAAUCUUGGUGCUACCUAUCUCUUAGCCAAUCCUAUCUUCCAUGCUCGUACUAAGCAUGUUGAAGUGGAUUAUCACUUUGUCCAUGACCGUGUUGCCAAGAAAGAGAUUCAGAUUUGUUUUGUUCCCUCUCGGGAUCAACUUGUUGAUGUCUUCACUGAACCACUUCCUGUUGCAUCCUUUACUGCUUUUCGAUUCAAGCUUCGUGUUGAUCCCCCACCCUCAGCUUGAGGGGGCAUAUUAUAGAAUGUAUAGUAUGUAUAUAUUCGAAUAGGAAAUUAAUAUAGGAUUAUUUCAAUGUUGUAAUCCCUACAGUUACUGCAGUGUUCUGCCGCAUAUAUAUAAAUAGGAAGGUUGGCUAAGGCACAACCUAACACAUUCUAUUAUUCUCAACUGCAUCAAACCAACUUUAAAAUUUAUAAAAAAAUACUUAAUAAUUAAAAUCUUUGAACUUUGAAGUUGAAAUUUAUUUUAAAUUGGGUUCAUAUUUGAAUAGCUUGGAAAAUUAACCAGGAUAAAAUUCAGGUAAAAUUUGGUUAACAAUUUUAUUUUUAUUGUUUUUUUCUUUUAUCAAUAACAAAGUUAUUUUUUAAUUUUUUUUUCAUAGACAAAACAUAUUUGUCUCCUCAACUUUGCUUACAAUAUAACGAUAUGGUCACCUACGACUUUUUGUGAGUCAUUCAUUUUUUGCCGUCAGCUUCACUGCCUAGAAGAUGCAUAUUUAACGAUUAUCAACUGAUCAUAGAGGAAGCCUAUAUCCAAACCAAUCGCACAGCCUUUGUCCUCCAAGUUCCUUCUAUUUUUCUUAUGUACACAAUUAACAUAUCCUCAAUUACCCUUUUGAUUUUAAUUUUUUUAAUGAAUUAAUUACGUGAAUAAAAUUUAUAAGAGACGUAGAGGAGGGCAUGAAUAGCACUAGCUAGAAGUCAGUGUAUCAAUGUUAAUGCUCCUCAAAAAGUCAAUGCUGGUGAAGUUGGUAGCAAAAAUAAAUAAUAAUAAAAAAAACAAAUUAAUUGAGUAGCUACUAGCUAGAGAGCCAAACGAAAUUGCAGAAGACGUUACACCUUCAUUAUUUAAUGGUUGUAACUGCCUAUCUAAGGAAACAAUAUUAUAGUAUUUAAGAUUUUUAAGAUUUCAUUUGAUAUAAUCUUAUGUGCAGAACUUGAGAGGGAUUCACAGAGAUUUUGGUGCAGGGAGGGCAACAACGGGGCCAUUUUGUAUUGCUUCUAAGACCUCCCUAAGAAACACAAAAAAAGAAAAAGGAAGAAGAAAACUCCAUGUUAUUUUGUCCAACAUGGUUACGGAGAUAUUCAUUGAAUUAGAAUCUGUCAAAACAUUAUCUCAACUCAAUAGCUUAAGUUGUUAGGUGAUGUCCCCAUACUAUCUUAUACUUAAUUUUAUCAAAUAAAUGGAAUGAUGAGAUUCGAACUAGUGACCGCUUGAUCAUCAAGACUCUGAUACCAAGUCAAAUAAUCAUCUCAACCCAAUAUUUUAAACUAUUAGGUGAAAUCUCAAGAUAUAAUUUAUAUUAUUCUCUAACAAGAUCAAAUAAAGAUAAAUGUAAGCAAGUAAAUAAAUGAAUAUCAAAUAAUCAUCUCAAUCUAAAUUAAGUUAAAUUAUUAAAUUAAGUUAUGAGAUAUAAUUUAUAUAUUUUUUUAACACACUUUCUAAAAAAAAAAAUUUUAAAUUUAAAAUUUAUAUAAAUUCAUAUUAUCUUAUACUUAAUUUUUAUCAAAUAAAAUAGUAGGUAUUGAUGAAGUUGUGGUUUUAUAAACGUAAUCAUGUACUACUGUUCCUGCUCCUAUCUUUCACACCUACUGCAUGUCCACACAGUCAUUAUUACUAUAAAUAUGUAGCAAGUUUGCCUUCCCAUUCAUUCCAUUUCAAGCAAAAAUAUUCUUGAGCUGAGGUAGAGCCACCAUUUAUCACAGUUUGCAGCAAACACAUUUUUUGUGCGAUGGCAGCACCAACUUCGAUAUCUUUCGCAGUCCGAAGGUGCGAACCAGAAUUGGUUGCACCAGCUAAGGCCACACCUCAUGAAUUCAGACAGCUUUCUGAUAUUGAUCGCCAACUAUACCUCCAAUUUCAAUCACCAGGUUACAGCUUGUAUGCACACAAUCCAUCGAUGCAAGGGAAAGAUCCUGUGAAGGUAAUAAAGGAGGCAAUUGCGCAGGCACUUGUGUAUUAUUACCCUUUUGCUGGUAGGAUUAGACAAGGGCCAGACAAUAAGCUUAUAGUAGAGUGUACUGGUGAGGGUGUCUUGUUCAUCGAAGCCGAUGCCGAUGCCACGGUUGAGCAGUUUGGUGAUCCAAUUCCAUCUCCAUUCCCAUGCUUUCAGGAACUUCUUUACAGCGUCCCUGGAUCAGAUCCUCAAUACCCCAUUAUUGCUUUUUCAGGUACGUAUAGGACAUUAUUGGCUAAUGUUUAUUCAUUCUUUCAUCAUUAUUAUUAUUAUUAUUAUUAUCGAGAAAAUUCAAAAAUAUAAUUAAAACAAUGAUGGUAGUAUUCCAUCAAUUACAUUCUCAUAAAGUAUUAAUAAUUUUAAAUUAUAUUAACAGGUGACACGCUUGAAGUGUGGUGGUUUUGUACUUGGGUUCCGUUUUAAUCACUCAAUGACCGAUGCACUCGGCAUAGUUCAGCUAUUGAAUGCCAUAGGUGAGAUUGCACGAGGUGCUCAAGCCCCUUCAAUUCUACCUGUGUGGCAAAGGGAACUCCUCUGUGCUAGGAAUCCGCCACGAGUUACAUGCAGACACAAUGAAUAUGGUAAUGAUGCUCCUGUUGCUGUUGAUCCUACAGCCAAGGUGCCUGAAUUCCACGGCCAGGUUCACGCUGUAGCCCACCGUAGUUUUGUUCUUAACCGCAAGGAAUUAUCCAACAUCCGUAGAUGGAUUCCUUCUCACUUACACCCAUGUUCAAAUUUUGAGGUAAUAAGUGCAUGCUUAUGGAGAUGCUAUGCCAUAGCAUCUCAAGCUAACCCUAAUGAGGAGAUGCGCAUGCAAAUGCUUGUCAACGCACGUUCCAAAUUUAACCCUCCAUUACCGAAAGGAUAUUAUGGUAACGUGCUAGCCUUGCCAGCAGCUGUAACAAAUGCUAGGAAGCUUUGCUUAAACUCUUUAGGGUAUGCAUUGGAAAUGAUAAGAAAUGCCAAGAAUAGAAUAACUGAGGAGUACAUGAGAUCAUUG
rnacentral:lncRNA from 1 species